UAUAUAUAUAUAUAUAUAUAUAUAUAUAUAGUAGGGCUAGAAUACUUGUAAAAGUAUCAUGGGGGUGAUACUUGUGUGUUUUUAGCCCUUGGUUGGAGAGAUGUGAGGUUGAGAUGAUGGUGGUAGGUGGUGGUAGGUGGAAUAAUGUUUAAUCCAAAGGCUAUUAAUAAUCAAAAAGUAGAUCCAAUAGCUUAAAACCUAAUAGCACCAUGAUGGUGAUACUUGUAAAAGUAUCAUAGCUCAACCUCUCUCUCUCCCUCUAUAUAUAUAUAUAUAUAUAUAUAUAUAUAUAUAUAUAUAUAAAAGUUAUGCACAUAGAUUUAAUUAAUAUUUAAAUCUUAAUUUAUCUCAAACAGAUUUAAAUAUUAAUUUCUAUCCAAUAGGAUUAACUACAAAUCUAACCAAUCCUAACAUUCUCACCUUUGGUUUCGAUUGUAAUUUCAAGCGCUACGUCGAGCUCACCAUGCAAGCUCCACCUUGAGCUUGUCUCCUACCGCUCGAUGUCGCCGCGAUCCGUCGCUCCGUCUCGAGCAAUUGCACAUCCGCGGAACUUUUGAACCCAAACGCUCUUCGCUCCCGUUUCUGACUGUGCUCCCCGUUCAGAACGUAUAAGUUCUACGCUUGUUCGCCUCGCAUACGACCGAUCUCAUUUUCGGACCUCAUAGCUCCAACCUAAGCUGAAAUAUCGCCACCCUCGAGUCCAAAUGCGCCUAACGAGAUCAAAUUCCGCUUCAAUCCAGGAACGUGCCGCACACCUGUCAGCGUCCUCACGACCCCAUCGUGCAUUCGGAUUUUCACCAUGCCGACUCCCAAUACUUUGCACGCUGUCCCGUUCCCCAUCAGCGCCUUUCCACCUUUGAUCGCCCUUAUAAGUGGCAAAAGACUCCUUCUCCGGACAUACGUGAAAAGAACAUGCCGAAUCGAGCACCCACGCAUCGUCCGAAAUUUUCGCACCUCCGGUCGCCGCAUACAGCACAUUAGAAUCGAUCAUCUCCGACUCUGCUGUCUGCGCUAUCGCUGAUACCGUCUCGUCCUGGUUCACGACAGUUUGCUCCUUCUGUCGCUUUAACUCCUUCAGAUCAUCCUAAAGUUUUCGACAAUUGCGCUUGAUAUGCCCCUUCUUGUGACAGUAAAAGUAUUCUACCUCAGAUAGCGGUUUCUUCUGUCAAUAUCCGGUCGCCAAUAUUCUCACCUCCUUCUUCGCAGUCACCACCAGUCAGUCCUACAUCCUGACUUUGCGUGCCUGACUCCUGAGUCAUCUUCCGCAUCUCCUUCGAGAGAAGUGCCGCCGUGACCGCCUCCACACUUAUGGACUCCUUGCCAUAAAGCAACGUGGUCACUAGAUGCUCAUAUGUCGUCGGUAGCGAAGAUAGUAGGAUCAACGCCUUGUCUUCGUCAUCCAGAUUGACUCCGAUGCUGGUCAACUGGGCCACCACCUUGUUGAACUCAUUUAGAUGAUCAUGUAGGCUCGCCGCUUCAUGCAUCCGCAACGUAAACAGUCGUUGCUUCAAAUACAAUCUGUUCGUCAGGGAUUUGGUCAUGUACAGAUCUUUCAAUUUCUUCCACAAUUUCGCCGGUGUCGUCUCGCCGGCUACGUUGUAAAGAACCUCAUCUGCUAAUAAUAGAUGAAGCGUACUCAGUGCCUUCCACUCCAUCUUCGUCCAUGCCGCAUCCGUGACCUUCGCCGGCUUCACCUCCUUUCCGUUCAACGUUUCAUCUAACUCUUGUUGUACGAGGAUCGCCCGUACUUUAAUCUGCCACAAUCCGAAAUUGUUCUUGCCGUUGAACUUCUCGAUUUCGAAUUUCGUGGCCAUCUCCGUCGAUCUCUCCCGCAGAUCGGUAACCUUCGGCUCUGAUACCACUUGUUGGGAAUCCGAUACUCGCCCCGGUACCGAAUCUCGUGAAUCCGCAACCCGCUCCGAUACUAACUGCUGUGGAUCCGAUAUCGAUUGUUGGGAUUCCGCAACCGAAGCGUCGAAUCGGAUUUUUACCAUAAACCCGUCUCCUCAACAGAAGCUUUCUCUCGUCUUCUAUAAAUCCAUAAAGAAAAACAAUCAUCCACGCGCACCCGUGCACUAGGUGCACUCAAUAACUCUCUCUCUCUUUUUCUCUCUCUGGUACGACACCUCCAGGCUCUCAACCGUACUACUCCCCCAAAAAAGAGACCCACAAUGCCUAUUUAUAAUGCUCAACUUAAAACGUACCCCAAUCCUAAUAUAUUUAGGAUUCAUACUUUAAUUAAUAUCUAAAUCUAUAUUAAUCAAUCUCUAAUAGAUUUAAAUAUUAAUUCUAAUCUAGUUAGGUUUAUCCUCUAAUUAAUAUUUAAAUCUUAAUUUAUCUCAAACAGAUUUAAAUAUUAAUUCUUAUCUAAAUAGGAUUUAACUACAAAUCUAACCAAAUCCUAAUAGAGAAACCACUUGCAACCUACCCGACCUAGGAACCUAGGUCUACACUUUAUUCCAGGCCGAGCGGACCGCGGGCGUCGUAGAAGAAGGAGGGUCGAAUAGAGAGAGAAAUGAGAGAAAGGAUCAGGUGAGGGUAAAGAGAGAUGAUCGGGGAGUGGGGGCAGCUAGAGGUAAGGGAGGGAAAGAGAAAGAAAGAGGCUCGGAUAGGAGAGGGGUAAAAAGAGAUAGAGAGCGAGCAGUAAAGGGGGAAUGAGAGAAGAAAGAGAGAAGAUCGGGUAGAUGGGUGAGGGAGUGGGUUGUGAAGAGAAAAAGCGCUAGCUGGAGAGGAGGGGAAGAGAGAGAGAGGCUCGGGGUUGAGGGGAGGGGAAGAGAGAGGCUCGGAUAUGAGAGGGGUAAAGAGAGAGAGCCAACAGUAGAAAGGGGAGAUGUGGAACCUGGGAGCUUUCCUCUUCCAAAUAGGAGUCAAUGGGGGGCAUUCUUGCAGCAACAGGGCAUUCGAGAACAGUAACUAUGGCACAGCAGCUACGGAUUGGGAAUCAAUGGAUUCGGAAGCAGUGUCUUGACCUGACCAGGAAGAAAGACCGGAAGAGGACCGGGUGCAGGGAUGAGGGGUAGGGUGUGAAGAGAGAGAGCGCCAGUUGGAAGGGAGGGGGAUAGAGAGAGAGAUGCUCGGGUAGGAGGGGAUGGGAAGAAAUAGAGAGGCUCGGGUAGGAGAAUGGGGAAGAGAGAGAGAGCCAACUGGUGAGGUAGGGAGAGAGAGAGGGGCCACUAGAGGCCUCGCCACGUGGAAUGAAGGAGAGGAAGGGGUGCCACGUGGGAUUUGAUGAAAGUGUCAAAUGAUAUAGUGUUAGGAUAUAGAAGUAUAGAUUAUUAAAACUAAAAGAAAAAAUAUUUUUUUUAUUUGUAAAAUCUAAAGAGAAUUUGCGCCAAACGUGUGAUCAAAAUGGUUAUAUAAUUAAUAAGUUUGAUUGAAGAGAAAAGCCUAUUGAAUUAUUUGAUAAAGUUUAAAGGGCAAAUUUUGAAACUUAAAAGCUCAGGCGCCGUUUUGGAAACCUGCUAAAUUUUAGGAGGUUUUUUACAUCAUUCCCCAAAAUAACAAAAAAAUGAAGAUAUACUCUAUAAAAAAUAGAAAAUAAAAGGGAUAAUUUCAUAAGUAUCCCUACAAGGACUUAAAGUUGCGGAUUUAUCCUUCCAACACUUUUUCUUUUUGAGACGGAUCCUUACAAUAUUUUAAUUAUCAAAUAUUUUUCUCUAAAUUUGCAAAAUGUAAAAAUUUAUCUCUGACUAUUAUUUUUUGUUGUUGUUUGUAGUUAAAUUUUCAUUGUUAGAACAUUAUGCCCUUUAAAAAACAGCUUUGUUAAAAAAAAAAUUAGAACAUAUAAAUUUAUACCUCAUGUAGAAUAAAAUGAAAGUUACAAUAAAAUUAUUAAAAAUAAUAAAUAUAAUUUAAAAUAUAUUUAUCAAGGGUCUGAUAGUUAUUUUGUUGAAAAAAGAGGUUAAUUUAGACAGUCAUAUAAAGAUAAGGCACCUAUUUGGUAAUUAUGCAAUUUGAAGAGAUAUAUUUGAUAAUUAAAACUAGUGAUGCGAAUAUGAUGAAUCCAGAUAGAUUUAUUCGGCCAUUUGUCCAGCUACCUUAUAUCCCCACUGUCGUUGUAAUGUAAUAAAAUAUUUCUCUCAUGAUCUGCUCUAUCUAAGAAUCUGCUUUCUACUGGCGACCUAAAUCUGUCCUGCCAAUUUUUUUUUUUGUUAUUCAAAUUUAAUUUUAAAUAUAAUUAAAUAUUUGUUAUUUUAAUGAAAAUAAAAUUUAAAAUAAUAAUAUUACAAUUGAAGCAACUAUUUUUUAAUUAUAUUUAUGCUAGGAAUCAAUAACAUUUAAAACUAAAAUAAUAACAAAGAGUGGAUUUAGGGUAGAUUAUUUUUUUUCAGCAUUCUAAAAUGGUCCGAUUUAUUCCUCAAAUCAAUUUAUUAUUUUGGGUUAAUUGCAUACAACUCCCCGUAAACUUAUUGAAUAAUAGAUAUAUUCCUACAAAAUUCAACAUUUUACUUUUAUCCUUGCAAAAGUCCUAUAGUUUACAAAUAUACACUGUUGUUAGGAUCCGUAAGAAAAAUAUAGUUAAUCAUGAGUAAAAUAUUUAAUUCUGAUUAGUAAAUGAGUUAAAUUAAUCUUUUUACCUUUCUUAUAUUAUUGGAUAAAAUACUUUUGGGGAGGAUAUUUCUGCAUAAUUCUUUUGGAGGAAUAUAUUUGUAAGAGCAAAAAUAUUAUUUCACUUAACUGCUGUUAAAAAAUAAAAAGCGCUCCAGCGAUAAUAAAGCAAAGGGGCAAAUAUGAAUAUCACUAAACAUUUAUAGGAAUAAAAAUAAAAAUUAAAUUUUAUGGGGAUAUAUUUGUUAUUCGAUAAGUUUACAUAGAACCUUAUUAUUUUUCAUUUCCUAUUCCAUUGCGGAUCGGAGCGGAACCACUGCCACUCCGAAUCCAUUUGCAUUGCAGCUAAAAUACUAUUUCGCUAUUUUGUAGGGACACAUAUGCAAUUUAACUCGCAAUAAAACCCUCCCCGGGGGACAUGCGCCGUUCCUAAAACCCUCCGCUUCGUGAACCCUCGCUUCCUCUGCGCGAGAUCGUCCCCAGUUCAACAACCUCUUCUUCCUCCUCCUCGGCGACCAUCUCCGCCGCGGCUCCUCGCCGGCGCCGGCCCUCUCCCACCCCACGCCACCGCCGCCUCCUCCUCCGGUGCCCUUGAAAGCNCCUGCUCCCCACCGCCCUCCCCUCCGUAGUAAGCUCGCACGUGGGUGGGUGCUGAGAUCUCUCUCUGGAGAGAGAGAGAGAGAGAGAGAGAGAGAGAGAGAGGUAGGGUUACGAUGUUGCGCCGGAACACGCGGCUGAGGAGGGAGUACUUGUACCGCAAGAGCUUGGACGGGAAGGAGAGGGAGAAAUACGAGAAGAAGCGGAAGAUCGACCAAGCCCUAAAAGGUUAGAUCCAAACUACCCCUCUUAAUUCAUUUUCCUUAAUGUUUUUCGUGUGUUAUCUCCUUUGGAUUGUGAUGUGAUGAGGGUUUUGAUUGGAUAGAGGGGAAGCCGAUACCCUCCGAGCUCCGGAACGAAGAGGCCGCGCUCCGUGAGGAGAUCGAUCUCGAGGACGAGUACACCGCAGGUUCGGAUAGAUUCCUUUUAUUUUUUCCUCAAAUUGAAAUCAAUUAUUUAAAUAACUUGGAUUAUUGUGUUCCUUUUGGAGAUUUUACCGCCCUUGUACCUGUGGCAACUUAACUUUGGCAUUGCUAUCAUUAGUAGUUUCCAUUCCAUUCAAACCAUCUCUUUCCACAUAUAACUGAAACUUGGUAACUGUUUCUAAAUCCCUUGUUUUCGUAGCUAUCGGAAUCAAUUUUCAUGUCGGAUUUUCUUUGCCUAUUUUUGGUCAAAAUAUAUAGAACUUUGAACUACUGCUCAUUUUGAAGUAGUUACCUGGAAUUUAGAAAUUUUCACUUUACUUCCUGACCUUUGAUUUUGAAAUAGAUUCCUGAAAUUUUUAUUUUUUUCGCUUUACAACAAUUUUGACAUAAUAUUCCCACAGGUUACUGAACAUUUUGGUAGAUUGCAGAAUAUUCUAUCAAAAUGGCGCACAUACUGCCAAUGUUAGGUAGUAAAAGUUUAGAUACUUAUUUCAAAAAAGCUACAAGAAUAUACAAUCAAAAUUUUAUUGUUCAGGUUUCCGUUUCAAAAUAUGCUAUAGUUCAAGUAAGUUCUGUACAUUUUCACCCGUAUCUUUUGUGACAUUGAGGCAGCAUGGACUCCCUUCCUCAUUAUGAGUUAUGACUAAACUUGAUGAAACAUGUUGUUAAUGGGUCACCUUGAUGCAUUGCCCAUAUGACUUGCUUGAGAUAAUUUGAUCAAGUUCUAAUGCGUUUCUACUAUAAAUUCAACAAUGAUGAUCAUUUAAAAGUUGAAUUGCCACAUUUAGCAGUUUGGUUCACAAAUUGUACUUUGUAGGGAUAGUUGAAAUUUUGCAGAAUGAUCAUAUAAGAAAGUUCCAGAAAAAUGUAUUUUUAGAAUUUGAUUAUCUAAAUAUGAUUGUGCAUCUUUAUGAUGCAGUCUGUGCUCUGGUUUCAUAUGCCGGAUUUGCUAUGUUCACUUUGCUAAACAAGAUUAGUUCAAUUUUUUCCAUUGGAGUUCCUGUUAUGUUUACUCAUGGUUGCAUGUAUAUUUACUUGUUUAAUAUAGACACACAUGCGAGAGUGCGUGCGCACGUGCGCACACACACUCACCCACCUCACACACUUACACGGCACAUGUGCGUGCGCACACACAUGUACAGGCAUGUACACAUGCACGCACUCAGACGCGCGUACACGCACACGCACAGGCACACACGUGCACGUACCCACACACACACACCCGCACAUGCACACACCUGCACGCACCUGCACACAGUAGCUUGCACGCACGCACACAUGCGCGCGCGCACACGCGUGCACACGAACGAUUCAUAUAUUGUAUUGUUAUUCUGUUCAUAUUUCUUUUAUGUGUAUGAUUCACGCAUGCACGAUUCAUAUAUUGAACUGUUACUGUUCAUAUUUUUUUUAAUGUGUAUGAUUAUAACUAAUUUUUCAUGCAAACCCUAUAUGCACACUGAACUUUUGUCGUUUUGGUGAUGGAUUUAGUGCCAAGAGCUCUCAUUGAUGAUGAAUAUGCCACUGCAUCAGAAAAGGAUCCAAAAAUUUUGUUGACCACAUCUCGCAAUCCAAGUGCACCCUUAACUCAAUUUGUGAAGGUGAAUAAUCUUUUCUUAUUCUUAUGGAAGAUAAUUUUCUUUUCGAUUGUAUUCAUUUAUUAGUCUUGUCACUGAGUUGAACAUUCAUAUUGUUUUAUUUCAGGAACUAAAAAUUGUCUUUCCUAACUCAACAAGAAUGAAUCGUGGUGGUCAGGUAUCAUUUCUUUUAUUAUUGUGGCUGUUAACUAUUUUCAGUUGGGAAGUAAGAAACAUGUCCAUGCUAGGGAAAGGGUAGCCCUUGCAUGAGGUACCCUUUCUGUGUGUAUUUGUUAUGUCUGUUUCCAUCAUUCGAUCUAAUGGUGCCAAUAUUUUGAUUGGAGCAACGUAUCUCGAAUUCAUACAUCUACUGAUUUUCACCUUUCCUACUAAAAAUUAGCUUCUCAUCUAAUCUACUCCUAUGUGACUAUUGAUUGUUCCCUGCUAAAACUGAUCUUCCCAUUGCUAGAACUCUGUUAACUUUUGGAUGGUCGCUUGCUUAUGCAACUUUGCUUUGUACCGAAUUAUUAACUGUAGAUAGAGUUUAAUAUUUUCAAUUUCCCAAUAUUUCUCAUAUUUUGAUGUUUGUUUUGCUAGUGCAUGACAUAUCUUGCUAAUUGCUAGUGCAUGGCAUCAAAUUGGUUUAAAUUUUAUAUUUGGCUGGCUUGCUUUAUUUCAUCAAAACUAGUUCUUUAUAGGUGAUCUCAGAAAUUAUCGAGUCUUGUCGUGCACAUGACUUCACUGAUGUUAUUCUGGUGCAUGAACAUCGGGGCGCGCCUGAUGGUUUAAUUGUCUGCCAUUUGCCAUUUGGUCCAACUGCAUACUUUGGACUAUUCAAUGUGGUAAGUACAUGUAUUACCUUGUUUUUUGUUUGUGUUGCUUCGAAUUACUCGGUGCAUGGUUUUCAAUUUCUGGUGGUAGGUGACAAGACAUGAUAUUAAGGAAAGGAAGGCUAUGGGAACGAUGUCGGAGGCUUAUCCUCACUUAAUCUUUGAUAAGUUCUCUAAGCAGGUACUUGCUUAUUUUCAGCACCUUAAUAGCUCAAGUCAAUAAUAUAAUCCGCACUUGAUACAAUGGAAGUUUCUUCUUGUAAAACUGCUUAUGAUGCAAUCACCCAUUAUAAAAGCUGCAAAUCCAUAAAUUUAUGAAAAGUUGUUUUUUUAUUUGGCAUCAGCUAUCUGAUUUCCACUUAAAGAAACCUACUAUUAGAUUGCUUAAUGAGCUAGGUCUGCACUUGUUGUAGUUGUAUGAAAAAUUACAACCGUGGUUAUAACAGGGAAAUUCGCUUCUUGUCUGUAUAUCUUUUCGCUAAACUCUUUUCUGUCUUCUUCAUGCAGCUUGGUCAAAGGACUAGUAAUAUUUUGAAACAUCUCUUCCCUGUACCAAAACCAGAUUCUAAACGCAUCAUUACUUUUGCCAAUAACACCAAUUACAUCUCAUUCAGGUUUGUGCCUACAUGUUACUAUAUUUUGUAUGUUACCUUAUCUACAUAAUUGAUUCUUUAUUGAUUUAUUUAGCCAUAUCAUGGAAUAUUGACUAAUACGAAUGACUGUAAAAAAUGUAAUGAGAUGUACUGAACUAUCCAUCAUUUUAGCCCUCUGAACCCAUGGACUACAGAUCUUCAACAAAACAAAUGUAACUGUGGAAAGUAUAUUUGUUGAAUAGUAUUUUAGUAGCUUUAGAUUAAUGCUGGAUUGCACAGUGCCAUUCUCAUGGAGGAUAAAUCUGAUACAUAUAACAAUAACAAGUUACCACAGUCCUUCAUUAUGUUACUUUCUAUUCUCAUGUCAAUUUUUUUCCCUUUUUUUUCAUCUGAUUCUUGUAAAUUUGAAGGAUGCCAAGUUUUCAAUUUGUAGUGGAGGACUUCUUCUAAGCACCUUGAAUAUUGGAGGUUUUCCUAUUAGUUGCAUUGCGCACUCCUUGGUGCAUGCAGACUAAAUUUUAGGUGAUCUCCAUGGAGUGUCGAGAGACUUUGAUCGUCCUCAUCAUUAUAAUUUAAUAGAACAUUGACAUGAGUUUAUAGUAGAGGGAACUGAUUGCAAAAAAUUGAGUUGCUGUUUGGAGAGAUUCACUGCCACUCAUCGGAAGAAUGGCACAAAGUUGCUUUCACUCCAAUUAUGUGAAAAAACUUCCCAACUUGGAUGCCAUGUAGGUUUCCAUUUAUUUGAAACUUCAGAAAGCUUAAAUGCCAGUACUGGUAAAGUGGUUGAUGGUAGGUUACUUCCCUUCUCUGGUACUAACAAGAGCUUGAUCGUAUGUUUCGACAUUUUAUUGCAAGCAAGCGUGUCCCUAUUUUCGACAAGUUGAAUUAGUAAUUGUGCUUGUAUUUGCUAGUAUCACCUUUCAUAUUUGACCCACGUACAUUUGGUUUGUCUGUAAAGGCAUCAUGUCUACGAAAAACGCGACGGCCCGAAAUCUAUCGAGUUGAAGGAGGUCGGUCCUCGGUUCGAGCUACUGCUUUAUCAGGUUAGCGAGCUUAUCUGACUAAUUAGUGCAUACUAUAUUCCGUCCUUUAUAAAAGCGAUCGUUGCCGAGUCUAAAAUUACCAUUUUUCUGUAUCUCCUGUGUAGAUCAAGCUAGGCACAGUCGAACAAACCGAAGCCCAAAACGAGUGGGCACUUAGACCGUUCAUGAACACCACCAAGAAUCGAAAUUUCCUUGGAGAGUAGCGUGCGUACUGCUUUACAUAUUAUUUCGCGCUUGUCUUCUUAUUUAUGCUUUUUACUGUAUCAUUUUGGGCGCCAUCUUUUUAAAUUUUCAUUUGCUCUAUGCUUCGCAAGUCGCUUUCAAGUGCGCAACUUCUUUACACUUCAUGUUGUCUUUCGUCACUAUGUAGAAAAUAUGGGUUCUCAUAGAAAGGAAUUACCGAGAGAACGUUUUGCGUGUUCUUUGGAUGCGGUAUGUUUUGCCUUGUCAUGUUUUAUCAUUUUAGGAGCUUAACAUUUAUAUUGUAAUAUCUCUCUUUGAUGACCAUACAAACCAACACAACUAUUUGCAUUAGUGAUCCUCUCCCCACAAUAGUUUGAAACCAAAUUGCUUGAUUCGGCAUUUUGAAUGGCACAUGACAUGUCUUCGGAAGUUCGCCUUUUUUUUUUUUUCAGUUCGGUUUUUAGGGAAUUCUCAAUCCGAACCGAAUUUUUUGUUUUGAAAAAAUCCAGAGCUGAACCAAACUGAUUUAUCAAAGGAAUCAAUCCAAACCAAACCGAAUUAAUUCUGUUUGCUUUGGUUUUGCUAGUAGCUUUUGAAACUCUUAUUUUUUCUAAUCUGAGCAUAAAUAUUGAGUUUCAAAUACAUGGUUUACAUAAACAGCAGUAAUAUUAUUAUUUGGUUUUCAGUUCGGUUCGGUUUUCGGUUUUGAACAGUUCUAAAACCAAUCCGAAAUCGAAAGUCGAAUUUUAGCAAUUCUCAAAACUGAGUCAAACCGAAAAUCAUAUAAACUGAAUCGAACCGUCUUCUUUGGUUUGAUUUAGUCUGGUUUUUGGUUUGGAACCAAACUAUGAAUACCCCGACCUGUAAACCCGACCAAAGGUCUGGUCGAAACGCAGCCUGGGUUCUGGGCUCAUCUGUUUCGCUGGAUCUCCCCCGUGGAGGUAACUCAUCUCGUCAAUCCGUGAAAGUUGGAGAUCUGACACGGGGAGCUGUCAGAGGGGUUUAGGGUUGCAGAGAAUCUGCUCCGACCUCGUGCAUAGCGCGAGGUCAUGACUUCAUGAACUUCAGCCUCCCGCCGCUUUUUGCCUAUGGCCCUUUGCUCCUUUGCUUGUUUCUGGGGUUUCUACAAUUGUAUGGCUGGUGUGUACAAAUUUUGGGAAUUUUCUUUGUAGAUCCCUGACUUUUGAGACAAUUUGAAAAAAGUUCUCAACUUCUUGAUUUCAAUGAAUGUCUUUGAAUUUUGAUUUUCUGUUAAAUUUUGAAAAUUUUCUUUGUAGAUUCCUGACUUUUGAGACAAUUUGAAAAAAGUUCUCAACUUCAUGUUUGCAAUGAAAGUCUUUAAAUUUUGAUUUUUUCUUAUAAGAAAAAAAAAAAGGAAAGAGGGAAAAAGAUCUGCCGAGCAUAUCUUAGACCUAGAUUGAUGACUCUGCGGCCAAAAUUAUCAUUAAGAAAAUUUUUGAUAGUUUUAAUUAUUUGAAAGUGUAAAAUCAUUCUCAACUACUUUUUUGUGGUCUUUAUUAUUCCAUUUGUUUUAUUAUUAUUAUUAUUAUUAUUAUUAAAGCUCUAAAGAGGUUGUAUCAUUUUUUGAAUACAUGAGUGUAUGGGUUGAUCCUUCGUCUUGUAUUAGGUUAUUAUUUAAGAUACAAUUUAAUUUCUACAUAAAUGCUUAUUGUGAACCGUGAACGCUUACUUUUUUUUUUUUGUUUUUUCCUUAUUUGAUUCACCAUAGCUUUUAUUUUUUAAAAAAUUGUAAUUGAUUUUGCUGAUUUUGCAUUGGGUGGCGUCGCAGUCAAUUUUACUUUUAUUCUUAAUUACUUUGAAAUAACAAACUCUUUUGAGAAUAAAAAAAAUAUUAUAAAAUUUGUUAUUUUCGAACCAAACGGGAGCUAAAGUUUUUAAUACUUUUGUUGCUUCUUGAAAAAAAAAAACAUUCGUCUCUUAAAGUGGACAAUGCGAUGUUCCCAUUGGCUUUGUAAAACCGAUUAAAAAGAUUUUUAAAGUAAUGUAAAUUUGCUGCAAAAAUGUAAAAUAGCUAGGGGCCUCGUUUACUAUUAGGGAUGGUAAUGGAUAUGGAUACCCGAAAUUUUAUUCGAAUUCGAAUAGAAUAAUUUAUUCGAUACUAAAUGGAUAUAAUUUCGGAUAUGGAUAUCUAAAAAAAAAUCCGAUGGAUAUAGAUUCGUGUAUGGAUUUUAAUUGUAUCCGAUCCAAAUCCGAAUUAAUUUUACAUUAUGUAUGAAUGUAUGUAUAUGUCCGGGUCUUGUACUAUCCGUAGCAUGGAUCUCUAUGCUACCAAGUUGUUGCCAAUUAUGUGGUUUUUAAGUCGACGGUGGGCUCCAUUAUACUUGAUCUACAUUAUUAAGUAUUUAAAAAUCAAAUUUAAUAAUUUUUCGACAUCAUUUACCUAUCAAACGAGUAGUUUUAAAACAAACGGAUGAAAAUAAAAAAUUUAUAAAAAAUGGUGAUAAAAAAUUUGAAUUUAAGAUCAGAGUUACUGAUCUUACUUUGAAUAGCGAAUAAAAUUUUCUAUAAAAAUUUUAUUAGAUUUGGAUUGUUUUAUACAGUUAAAUUCACAAACGCAUCACAUCGAUCAUUAAAAUUAUCAAUUUUGAGGUUUUUGAUCACUAGUCAAAUAAUGUUGAAAAGUUAUGAAAUUUAGUUUCCAAAUACUUUCAAUAGUGUAGAUUAAGUCUAACGGAGCUGAUCGUUGAUUUGAAAGCCGCAUUAUUGAAAACAACUUGGUAAUACGAAGGCUUCCGUGCUAUCGAUUGUAUAGCAGCCUAGCUCGUGUGUGUGUAUAUAUAUAUAUAUAUAUAUAUAUAUAUAUAUAUAUAUAUAUAUAUAUAUAUAUAUAUAUAUAUAGUUGAGUUAGAAUACUAUCGGUAGCAAACGGGCUCCGUUGCCACCCAUUUGUUUUCGAUAAUGUUGACUAUUGCCUUUAAUUCUAUAUUUAAUAAAAUAUUACACUAACGUAUUUUAUUUACAUUAUGUUAUUGAAAAUUGUAUACUAAUAUAAUUUAUUAUUACACUUAUUUAUUUUAAUUUCAAGCAAAAUUAGCACACUCUUAUUACUUUAUAUUCUCUAAUUUUUAGGUUUUAAAAUAAAGUUACAGCGUGCCAAUAACCAAUGUGUGGUUUGCUAACUGUUUCAUAAAUAAGUAAUUAUAUUAUAUUUGUUUCUUAUUUUCAACUAUUUGUGUUAAUGUAUAAUGUAAUUUACUUUUACUCAUUAAAAAUUUUAUAAUUGCAAGAUUCAGUCUUACGUUAUUGGUAAAAAAUAAAAUAAGAUAUUAACAUAUACUGGGAAUACUAUUUGACAAAUUAGUUAAAAAGGAAGAAAUGCUUCUUAUCAUGGUUAGUUAAUUCGUGUUUAAUUCGCGAAUUAUUCACGAAUUUUUGAAGAAACGAAUUAAACAGCCGUUUCCGUAUUUUUCCGAAAAAUUUGAAAAAACAUAUUUUUUUCGUCAAAAAUAAUCAUUUGUGAAUUAUUCGCGAUUCACGAACGAUUCGUCCGAAAAAACGGCGCUCGUGGUUACGGACUCGCGGUCGCAUCGUCGCCGCUCUUGUCGCCUAACUCGUCCAUGUUGUCAUCGUCUUUCUCCUCCGCCGCCCUGGCCGGCGCUGGAAGCAAGAGGGCCACGGCGGCGGAUCCCGUCUCGCCCAAGGUCGUCCGCGGAAACUAUGUGGAACAGUAAAAAUAGCACAGCGUUGGGAGCUAGCACAGUGGUGGCAACUUGCGCGAGGAGGGAGGUCCACGGUGGACCUCCCUCUCAUUAAGUCAUAUAUAUAUAUAUAUAUAAUUAACAAACUUCUGUUUAAUAAGUAAGUGAUUCUAUUAUAUUUGUUUUUUAUUUUCAACUAUUUUAAUUAAAGUAUAAUGUAAAUUUAUUUUUACUCAUUAAAACUUCAUAAUUGUAUGAUCCAGUUUUACGUUAUUAGUAAAAAAUAAAAUAAUAGAUUGACACAUGUUGGGAAUGCUAGUUGAAAAAUUAGUUUGAAAGAAAGAAACACUCCUUGUAGCGAAAUUAAAAUAUAUUUUGCUUUUUCAAAACAGAAUAUAUUAUCACACUCUCGGUAUAUUAUUUGUAAUAUCAUAACCUUGACAUAUUAUUUUUAUAAAUUGGUAUAAAGUACAUAGUAAAUAAUAUUUAUUCAUUUUACAGUAACACUAUUGAGUCGACAAAUUUGUCGCAUAUAUUUUUUUGGUAGAAAAGUGACCAUACGGAGUAUCUUACUGUAAUCAAUCCCGUUAAAACUACGGAAUAGUAGUUUUACGAAAAAAUAAAAUAAUACUAUAUUUAGUAUUCCGUGGAACAUGAAUAACUUUGGAGGUCUAUUGGCUAAAAUGAAAGGGCAUACAGUAAUAAUUCAAUUGUCGACUUUUUAAGAUUUAUUUCGGCCACAUAUAAUCAAUUUUAGAAGAAUCGUGUUAUAUUGAGAUGCUAAGAUUCAAUUGUCGACUUUUUAAGAUUUAUUUCGGCCACAUAUAAUCAAUUUUAGAAGAAUCGUGUUAUAUUGAGAUGCUAAGAUUUAACUUUAUUUUCUUAUUUAUCAUAUGCUCUAUUUGUCUCUAAUAUCUAAUUAUGUAAUUAGAAAAAAAUAGGAUAUGAAUUAGCUGAUCUGCAUGAGUACAUAACACUUACUCAUAGAUAUAUAUAAUUAAUUAAUUAUACAUAUUUAUGAGUAAAUAUAUGGUACAUAUUAAUAUAUAUACUAUGUACAUAACACUUACUCAUAGAUAUAUAUAAUUAAUUAAUUAUACAUAUUUAUGAGUAAAUAUAUGGUACAUAUUAAUAUAUAUACCUAAUUAGUUAUGUACAUAAAACUUACUAAAUAUAUAUUAUUUUAAAAUUUUCAAAAAAAUUAAUUAGACGUUCUAUGUGCAUAACUUAAGAAAAAUUUUAAAAUUUUAAAAUCUCACAAUACUCUUUUAAAAAAACAAAAUAUGUCUUAAUUAAUUAAACGCUCUACCUUUAUAUGAGAAGUUUCUAUUCUUUUAUUUACUUUAUAGGAUUGCUAGUAUCGGAAAAGGAGUGAAGAUUGCUUAAGCACAUCUUCUACUUGAGUAAGUCUUAAUUUUAGUUAAUUAAUUUUCUUUUUUUGGUCUUAUUUCAUUGAUAGAUAAUUAUUGGUAGAUAUUAAUGGUAUUAUAUUUGAUGUUAGAUAUUAAUUUCUUGAUGUGAUCAAUUCACAGUAAAAGUAGGUAUGUUAUUUUAAUUUUAUACAAAUAAAAGUAUUUAUAUAUUAUAUGAUAAAUACAUAAAAUGGGCCUCCACAAAGCCUAAUAUUGGACUUGAGCUUGGGCCGAGUCUUAAUUUUGAAAAAAAAGGGGGAAAAGUCCGACCUGAAACCCAACAUUUUCUUGUGGGCCGGGCUUGGGCAUAGUAUUGUCCGACCCAAGCUCGGCCUAGUUCCAUCUCUAGGUUUGAUAGUUAGGUUCGGAUUCGGAUUGUUAAAAAUCCGUUUCGAAUCAGACCCGUUGGCAUCACUAGUUGCUAUCAUUUUCUUUUAUUUUUUUUAUUUUUUUAGAUACUAAUUUUAUGUAAUUUGCUAUGUUGGAGAAAAGAUUUUGUUUUUGUUAUUAUUAUUGGUUAACUUAUAAUAUAUUUGACUUAGUGCGAGAUGAUAACUUGCUUUAAAAAAUUUGAAAGCAAAAAAUAUUAUUUUAAAAUUUUUAUUUUUUUUUAUUGUCAAGUAAACACUUUGAAUGAAAUGAUUGCAAGUAAAUCACUACCCUCUCUUGUAUAUUUUGAUAUAUAAAAUUUUAUUUAAAGAUAUAAAAAAAAUAUGAUACCCAACGAGGGCCAAUUUGCAUAAAAAAUUCGCUUAUUUUGGGCUUUUACAAAACUGGGCCAUCUUUUUCGUUUUUGCAGAUUCGGUUCGUUUUUUCAGCAAACUGACCAAAAUACCCUUAUUACUUUUUCUCUUUCCUCUUUCUCUCUUCUCUUCGUUUCUCUCGUUCUUUUUUUUUUUCUAGCCGAAAAAAGUAACGAAGGCAGAGGCGGAGGCGGAAAUGGUCCGCCUCGCCUAUCACCCUCAUGCUCUCGGCCUCGCCCUUGUCCUCGCCCACGCACCCCCUACCUUCCUCGCCUCCGACCCCGCCAAGAUCGCGCCGCGACUUUUUUUUUUUUUUUUUUUUUUUUUUUUUUUUCCUNCGACUCUCCUCCACCGUCUCCGACGACGACGCCUCUCUCGCUCUUUCCCGCCCUUCUCGCCUCUCCCUUUCCCUCCUUCUCUAUCGCCUCCGACGAAGAUGCAUUUUCGCCAGCGUCGAUGCCUACACCGUGGAGGUUACUGCGGCGCUGCAGCCUUGGAGCGGGGGGUUCUUAGCGGCGUCGUCGCCGGCGCUGUGGCUGUUGGCAAAGAGGGUGACAAAAAAAAUUAUAGAAAAAAAGAAAAAAAUAAAGAUAAAAACUUAUAUAAAAAGAAGGAUGAAGAUGAAAUUGUAUCGUUAACUGCAAAAAAAAUUAUAAGAUGCACUACUUAAGAUGUAAACUGCAGCUUUAAGAUGAAAAUUACACUCUUUAAACGAAAAUUAUACUCUUUGAGAGAUAUUUAUACUAUUUCUCUUCUUAUUGCACUCUUUCAGAUGUAAACUAUAUCCAUUAAGAUGAAAGUUACACUCUUUAAACGAAAGUUGCACUGUUUUUCCUCUUGUUGCACUAUUUUUUCUCUUGUUACACUAUUUUUUAUCUUAAACUGCACCCCUUAAGAGAUAUUUAUACUAUUUUUCCUCUUAUUGCACCAUUUCUCCUCAUGUUAUAUUAUUUUUUAUCUUAAACUGCACCCCUUUAAGAAAUAUUUAUACUGUUUCUCCUCUUGUUGCACUAUUUUUUCUCUUGUUGCACUAUUUCUCCUCUUGUUCUCAGUGUAACAAGAGGAGAAAUAGUGCAACAAGAGAAAAAACAGUGCAAUAAGAGGAGAAACAGUAUAAAUAUCUCUUAAAGAGGUGCAGUUUAAGAUAAAAAAUAGUGUAACAGGCGGAGAAAUGGUGCAACAAGAGGAGAAACAGUGCAAUAAGAGGAGAAACAAUAUAAAUAUCUUUUAAAAGGAUGCAGUUUAAGAUAAAAAACAGUGUAACAAGAGGAGAAACAGUGCAACUUUCGUUUAAAAAGUGUAACUUUCAUUUUAAUGGAUACAGUUUACAUCUGAAAGAGUACAAUAAGAGAAAAAUAGUGAAAAUAUCUCCCAAAGAGUGUAAUUUUCGUUUAAAGAGUAUAAUUUUCAUCUUAAAACUGCAGUUUAUAUUUUAAGUAAUGCAACUUAUAAUUUUUUUUGCAGUUAACGAUUUAAUUUCAUCUUUAUCCUUCUUUUUCUAUAAGUUUUUAUUUUUAUUUUUUUUCUUGCUUCUUUUAUUAUUUUUUUGGUCACCCCUCUCUGCCAAUGGUCACAGCGCCGACGACGACGCCGCUAAGAACCCCCGCUCCAAGGCUGCAGCGCCGCAGUGACCUCCACGGUGUUGGCGUCGGCGCCGGCAAAGAUGCAUCGUUGUCGGAGGUGGCAGAGGAGGAGAGAGAGGGAGAGGACGAGAAGGGUGGAGAAGGGCAAAAGAGGCGUCGUCGUCAGAGACAGUGUAGAAGAGUCGGAGAGGUAAAAAAAAAAAAAAAAGAGUCGCGGCGCGGCCUCGGCGGGAUCGGAGGCGAGGAAGAUGGGGGUGUGCGGGUGAGAGUAAGGAUGCGGACAAAAUCGAAGCAAGCCACCUCCGCUCUGUCUCUGCCGCUCUCUGGGAAGAGAAAUAAAAAAAAGAACGAGAGAAAAAAGAGGAGAGAGAAAAAGUCUCCGCCGCUCUUUGGGAAGAGAAAGAAAAAAGAACGAGAGAAACGAUGAGGAGAGAGAAAGAGAAAAGAGAAAAAUAUAUAAGGAUAUUUUGGUCCUGAAAAAGCGGAUCGAAUCUGCAAAAACGAAAAAGAUGGCCCCAUUUUGUAAAAGUCCAAAAUAAGUGGAUUGUUUAUGCAAAUUGGUUUCCAACGAGAUCUAAAAUUGUUAUUAAAAAAUACGGUACAAACGAGAUCUAAAAUUUAUAUUUUUAUAGUCGUUGAUAGAAGCAUAUAAUUUAUAUUACUCUACUGCAAAAUUACGAAGUUAUUGUAAGUGAUGCUAAGAUAGUAGAAUUUUGUUAAAAGUCCUUUCUAAGUAUAAUUGAUAAUUUAAAUUUUUAUAUUUUUUUUAGAAGGGCAAUUGUUUAUAUUAUCUUGAAAAAUUUUUCACUUUCUGACUUAUCUCUCUUAUAAGGUUAAUAUUAAAAAUAUUUUUUUUAAGUUUCAAGUUAUUUCAAAUAUACAGAGUUAAAUUCUGUUAGUAAAUUAUUAGCAGUAUUAUUAUUUUGCCGUUUCAAUUGUCACCAACUUUUUUUAUUUACCCUUAAGUUAGGGCUAAAAGAAAUAUUUUAAUUUUUAUCUUUUUAAAUAUACCUUUUAUCAUCACCAACCAUUUUUUAUUUGCCUUUAAAGAGGUAUUUUGAUUUUUUUAAAAUCUCGUAGAAAUUUAACCAGAUUUAAUUCGAGAUAACUUAACGAGUACUAGCAAUGAGAUUAUUUUUGAAUAAUAAAAAAAAAAAAUAUGAAAGGUAUAUUUGAAAUGAAAAAAAUAGAGAUAUAUUAAAUAUUUCAGAAGUUUUCAAGAUAUAUUAGAUAUUAUUCAUUUUUAUUUGAAUAAUAGAAAUUAUGUGUUAAUUAAUGGGGUCCACAUGAGAGACAAGAAGAUCGCUAAAUUACACUCCCCAUCAUGUGACAAUUCCCCUAUCCUUAUCUCUUUCUUUAUAUCGUUAUUUUAUUCCAAGUUGUAUAACUUAAUUACACAAGUUUACAACUUGGGCAUGUGCCAAAAAAAUAUUGGGUAAAAAUGUAGGGAGAUAUGAGUGGUUUUUUAAGUUAAAAAAUUUGUAAAUUUGAGUAACCACAGUUAGUUAAGUUAAAAAUUUUAUAAAAUUUAUUGAUAAUUUUAUUAAGCUAUUAUUUUAUGGUAAUGCAAUUAGAAUGAUUGACAUAAUAUUUUCAACUUAAUUAACUAAAAUAAUUUAAAUAAAAAAUAAAGAGUUAAUAAUUUUCAAUCAAAAGUACAAAAUAAAGGGGCUAUUUUCAUGGCUAUCACUGAGGGUCUCACUACAUUUUUUUUCCUAAUUUUUAGCAUGACUUAUUUACAUUCUACCAUCCUAUACUGCAUGUUUUCUUUUCCUUGUUUGCUAUUAUUAAUUACUUUUUUAAUUGUUUUCUCUAUUAUAUUUUUGAUUUAUUUUUAUUUACUAUUAUGUACUAUAUUUUUUCUCAAAAGUAUUAUUAAACUAUUAUUUCUUAUAUUAAUUUAAUCACUAUACCAUUGUUAAGAAAUUUAUUAGUUUAGACUGAAAUGAAUAAUACUUCGUUUGGAAUUACGAAGAAAUUACUUUACGUGCGGUGAAAAAGUACGAUAAAAAAAUAUCCUAUUUAUUUUCGUACAUAAUAUUACUUUUAGUAUAUUGCGAUGAGUCGAUUAUGAUAUAUUUUUUUCGAUUUUAUCGGAGAAUGUAGAAGUAUGUCAUAUAUAUAUUUUUUCUAACUCUAUUUUAUCUAACAACAUCAACACCAUCAACGUCGAGUAGAUCUCUGUACCAAACUAAGCCUAACUCCUUCAAAUCUAUUAUUGUGACCGAAGAAAAUUUUAAAAAACCGUACAAAAAUCUCCAUCCUUUUCCUCCUCCUCCUAAACCCUAUAUAUAUAUCCGAGUUCACGUCGCCUUCACCCGGUAACCUUACCGCCUCGGUCUCCCGUGACCUUACCCUCUCUCUCACCAUUACCAUCGCCAUCGCCAUGAGCCUCUUCAAGCUCUUCGAUCCCUUCUUCGACCCCUUCUCCUUCUCCUUCGACCCCGACCUCGCCCUCCUCCUAAACCCUAGCCCCUCCCCCUUCGCGAUCGACGUCCUCGUCGCCUCCCUCUCCGACCGCGUCGCCGCCCUCGAGCUAGGGCUCCUGCACCGCGAUCGGAGGCGGAAGUGGACGGCGGAGAUCACGUCGCCAUGGCUGGAGGAGGAGGAGGAGGAGGAGGAGCUCGAUCGGAGGUACAGCUACAGGUGGGAGGCGGAGGCGAAGGGGGCGAAGGGGAAGGUGAAGUGGACGGAGGAGGUGGAGGCGAAGCGCGGCGGUUUCUACGCCCCUCCUCUCCCCGUGAAGCGCACGUACACGUACGAGAUCUCGACGGUGAAGGAGACUAAGGAGACUAAGGAGAAGAAGGAGACGAAGAAGAAGAAGAAGAAGGGGUGCGGCGCACGCGUCGUCGAGAUCGAGCACGAUACCAAUCCGAGGACCAUCGCCAUUAGAAAGGUUCGAGGAGCUUCGCUUUUUUUAAUUAAUUUUUAUUAUUAAAAAAAAUAUAUAUAUCAAACUUAUCUGAAUUAUGGGCCAUUUUGAGUUUGCUUUCGAAUCUUUCAAUUUGUUUGAUUUGAGAUUAACGACCCGCUGACUUCAAAAUUUUAGGGCGUGUUUGGUUCGAAGUUGGAGUCGAAAUCGGAAUCCUGGAAUUGGAAUCGGAAUUACUCAUUACCUACGUUUGUUUUGUUUAUCACCUGAAUCGGAAUCGGAAUAAAUCAUUUCCAUUAUCGGUGUUUGGUUUAGAUGGAUAUAAAAAACGUAAUCAAAUUAAUAUACUAACAUUAUCUUUAUAAUAUAUUAAUUUAAAUUUAAAUUAAAAAUUAAAUAUUAAAAAUUUACAUUAAAAUUUUGAAAUAAUGUCAAAAUUUUAAAUCUUUUUUUUUUUAAAAAAAAUUAAACUUUGAAGUUGAGUGGAUAAUUCAAAAUAUGAAACUAAAUUUUGAUUUAUUCAAAUUCAAACUUAAAAUUAUAAUUAUAAUUUUAGUUUGUAUCCAUAAAUUUAAUUUAAGUUUGAAAUAAAAUUUGAAUAAAAUUUUAUAUAAAUUAAAUUUAAUCUAAAUUCAAAUUCAUAAGUUAGAUUCGAAAUACUUAAUUAAAUUUUAAUUUUUAAUUUAAGUUCAAAUUAAAAUUUAAAAUUAUAUAUUUAAUUUUUAAAUUUUAACUCAUAUUUUAAUUAAAAAAGUUGAAAAAAUAAAUUUAAUCCGAAUAAAUAUCUAUUCCGUUCGAAUUCAACUUCCAAUUUGGCAUCUUAGGUCGGAUUGAAAAAAGAGGUGAUUGGGGGAUUUCCAUUCCACACGGGAAUUGGAAUCGGAAUGAGACUCCCGCGUACCAAACACCCACAAACGGAUUUACCAAUUUCGAUUCCGAUUCUAAGGUGAAAAAGAAGCGAACCAAACACGCCCUUAUAGGAUACCAUAAUACUAAUUUAACUCUCAAAUAUAAUUUUAUAUUAUUUAAAAUUUAUAAAAAAUAUAAUACUAUUCUCUAAUGAGUUUUCCAAAAAAAAAUAUCAAAUUUAUUUUUAAAAACUUUUAUAUAAGAAAAAAAUUAUAAAAAUCUAGGAAUAGUAAUAAUUUCCCCUUAAAGCAUAAUUUCCCCUUCAAAUUUAAUAGUUUACCCAAAAAAUAAUAAUAAUUAAAAAAACAAUGGACAUGGAAAAUUAAAUAGAAAUUACAUAACCACGCGCACUUCACAACAAGGUCACAAAAAUCUACCAACAAAAGCACGAUCUUUUCGAUUUCCAUUAACAAUUCACACUGUAAUCAAACGGAUCUACCACUUGAAACCCUCCUAGAAACCCUAAUAGCACAAAGAACUAAGUAGAUCGGAGACAAAUCUACAAGCAAUGGCGAGUAAAGAUCCAAUCAGAUCGGGCCUCACCUCGUCGCCACACCGCUGCACCAACUCGCCGUGUAGCCCCAUCUCGCUGUCGUUGCUGCCGAGUCUCGCCACCACGCUGCCCUACGCCGCCGCCGUGCCGCGUUCGCGGCGCCGCUAGGGUUAGGGAUAGAGUUUUGAGAGAGGGGUGAGAGGGGUGAGGGAUAGGGUUUUUCGUUUUUUUUUUUUUGAUGAGAGGGGUGAGAGAUCGUAUACAGAGAGAGGAGGGUGAGAUGGUCUCAUGGGCUUCGGGACUUGGUGGGCUUCGGAAAUAAAAUCUCAAUCCGGGCUUGGAGUCCGGAAUCAAGUUGAAGGCUGAUGGGCCAUUCCCAUUUCAGUCCGGAAUAGAAAUCCCAAAUCGAUUCCUGCAAACCUAACAAAAUUAAUCGGAUUUGAUCAAACCGAUUCCCAUUCCAUAUCCAAAAUGGAUAAACCAAACAAGCCCUAAUUGUAGGUCAUUUUAACAUGGCCCCCCUCAACUCAACUAUAUUUUAUUAUUAUUAUUAUUAUUAUUAUUAUUAUUAUUAUAUUUGAGAAAUGCUUGUAUAUUUAAAGUAAGUUAUAAAUCUUACACCAACCCAGUCAAGGGUGUAAGCACUUUCAUUGGGUUUUUAGGAUUAAAAAAAAAAAAGAUUGGUAAACACUAGUGUGAAAUAUUACCCUUUCGAUUGAUAGACCNUUAUUUUUAAAAACUUUUAUGCAAGAAAAAAAUUAUAAAAAUCUAGGAAUAGUAAUAAUUUCCCCUUAAAGCAUAAUUUCCCCUUCAAAUUUAGUAGUUUACCCAAAAAAUAAUAAUAAUUAAAAAAACAGUGGACAUGGAAAAUUAAAUGGAAAUUACAUAACCACGUGCACUUCACAACAAGGUCACAAAAAUCUACCAACAAAAGCACGAUCUUUUCAAUUUCCAUUAACAAUUCACACUGUAAUCAAACGGAUCCACCACUCGAAACCCUCCUAGAAACCCUAAUCGCACAAAGAACUAAGUAGAUCGGAGACAAAUCUACAAGCAAUGGCGAGUAAAGAUCCAAUCAGAUCGGGCCUCACCUCGUCGCCACACCGCUGCGCCAACUCGCUGUGCCGCCCCAUCUCGCUGUCGUGCUGCCGAGUCUCGCCACCACGCUGCCCUACGCCGCUGCCGUGCCGCGUUCGCGGCGCCGCUAGGGUUAGGGAUAGGGUUUUGAGAGAGGGGUGAGAGGGGUGAGGGAUAGGGUUUUUCUUUUUUUUUUUUUUUGAUGAGAGGGGUGAGAGAUCGAGAGAGGAGGGUGAGAUAGUCUCAUGGGCUUCGGGACUUGGUGGGCUUCGGGAAUGAAAUCUCAAUCCGGGCUUAGAGUCCGGAAUCAAGUUGAAGGCUGAUGGGCCAUUCUCAUUCCAGUCCGGAAUAGAAAUCCCAAACCGAUUCCUGCAAACCUAACAAAAUUAAUCGGAUUUGAUCAAACCGAUUCCCAUUCCAUAUCUAAAAUGGAUGAACCAAACAAACCCUAAUUGUAGGUCAUUUUAACAUGGCCCCCCUUAACUCAAUUAUAUUUUAUUAUUAUUAUUAUUAUUAUUAUUAUUAUUAUUAUAUUUGAGAAAUGCUUGUAUAUUUAAAGUAAGUUAUAAAUCUUACACGAACCCAGUCAAGGGUGUGAACACUUUCAUUGGGUUUUUAGGAUUAAAAAAAAAAAAUUGAUAAACACUAGUGUGAAAUAUUAGCCUUUCGAUGGAUAGACCAAAAAAUUUACAUCUAUCUAAAUUUUUGGGUGUAUAAGUAGUGUUGCUUUUUUUUUUUUUUUUUCUCCCUUGGGAAAAUUGUUUAGAAAAUAGAGAUCCUCUAAACUUUAGGUUCCUUUGCAACGGUGUCUGAAUUUUUAAUUUUGGCAAUUAGACCUCUUAAAGUUUGUCAAAUAACUCAAUGGAUCUCUCUCUUCAGUUGAAAUUACUAAUCACAUAGUCUCUUUGAUUGUGUCUUCAAUAUAAUUUUAUAAAGCUUUAAAAUGUAAAAAAGAAUUAUUUUUCUAUUCUAAUAUAUAAAUAAAAAUAAUAAAUAAACUAAUUGUCAAAAUUGAAAGUUCAUUUUCCUGUUUAGAAAAGAGCUAAAGAUCCUGGGUCUUUCUAUAUUAUUUCCUUUUUUGGGUGAACUUCAUUAUUCUUACUGUAGUUUAGCAUAUUUUUAUUUUACUACCCUAUGAUUUAAAAAGUAAUUUUGGUUAAUCUUAACGACCUACCCUUAGGGCGUGUUUGGUUCGAAGUCGGAGUCGAAAUCGGAAUCGGAAUCAAAAUAAGCUGGAAUCGGAAUCGGAAUUACUCAUUACCUAAUUUUGUUUGGUUUAUCACCUGAAUCGGAAUCGGAAUAAAUCAUUUUCAUUAUCGGUGUUUGGUUUAGGUGGAUAUAAAAAACGUAAUCAAAUUAAUAUACUAACAUUAUCUUUAUAAUAUAUUAAUUUAUAUUUAAAUUAAAAAUUAAAUAUUAAAAAUUUACAUUAAAAUUUUGAAAUAAUGUCAAAAUUUUAAAUCUAUUUUUUUAAAAAAAAAUUAAACUUUGAAGUUGAGUGGAUAAUUCAAAAUAUGAAACUAAAUUUUGAUUUAUUCAAAUUCAAACUUAAAAUUAUAAUUAUAAUUUUAAUUUGUAUCCAUAAAUUUAAUUUAAGUUUGAAAUAAAAUUUGAAUAAAAUUUUAUAUAAAUUAAAUUUAAUUUAAAUUCAAAUUCAUAAGUUAGAUUCGAAAUACUUAAUUAAAUUUUAAUUUUUAAUUUAAGUUCAAAUUAAAAUUUAAAAUUAUAUAUUUAAUUUUUAAAUUUUAACUCAUAUUUUAAUUAAAAAAGUUGAAAAAAUAAAUUUAAUCCGAAUAAAUAUCCAUUCGUGGGUUUCGGAUUCAACUUCCAAUCCGGCCUCUUAGUCGGAUUGAAAAAAGAGGGGGUUGGGGGAUUCCUAUUCCACUCGAGAAUUGGAAUCGGAAUGGGACUCCGCGUACCAAACACCCACAAACGGAUUUAUAUUCCGAUUCCGCAUUCCAAGGUGAAAAAGAAAGCGAACAAACACGCCUUAAUAUACUUUUUGUAACACAUGAUAGUAAAGUGCAAAUUAUAGAACAGUAAAAACUGUAUUGUUUCGCUCUGGUUUGAAAAACUAUCACGGUAGUAUUUAGUUUAGCAGCAGCUACUUACAGUGAAAUGGAAAUAAUGAACCGUAUGAUAGAUAAGCAUACUCUUUUGAAUCACAAUGCGGCGAAGAAAUGAAAAAGUGUUAGACCACAAUGAGGUAAAUUGAAGUUUACCUUUUUUUUUUUUUUGUGAUAUUGACGCCUCUUUGAACUUUUAAUUCUGCUCUCUUUUUUUUUCUUUUUUUUUCUUUUUUUUUUUUUCUAUUUGGGUUACUCUAGUUAAUUAAGCUGAAAUGUUGUUAAGUUUGAAUAGUAGCUAUGUUAGUUGUUAGCUUGUUUUUUAAUUGGGUAAAAAGUGAUUAAAGUUAUUAAUUUUGAAAAUGAAUAAAAUGGCUACUAUAGUUGACUAAAAUCGCUUAUUACACCAAAAAAAGUUACGAAAAGCCAACAAAAAAUAAAAUUAAAUGUUGUUUUAAAAUGGACUAUAGAUUGUGGAGUAUCCACACUUUUUUCCCUUUUUUUUGUUUUAUAGGAAAGGACUGUCUUCUUGUGGUAUUGUUAGAACUAAAACCGAGAAGAUCUAGUUCGUCGGAUACGAAAAUACCAAAAGAGAUCUGAGAAAGAGAGAAGAAAAAUAAAGCACACAAUAUUUACGUGGUUCGGCCAACGGCCUACGUCCACGGGCGAAGACGGAGCGGAGAUCUUCAUUAUAAUCAAAGCCGUACAAAAUAUGCCUCUCUCACAAAACCCUAAUCCCAAAAAAUACACCCAUAUUCUCUCUCUCAUCUUCCGCACUAAAUCAAUAGCAGAAAGGGUAUAUUUAUAAUAGUGGCUAAAUCUUAAUACGAUUAGGAAUACAAACCCACUAAGAUUAGGAAUAUCUCGAUAAAUUAGGCAUAAUCUAAAGUUAACUUAAUGGGAUAAUUAAAACAGAAUAGGGUUAGAAAACCUUGCGGUACUAAAAUUCGAGACAUAUUUAACAAGUAUUAAUUGUUAAAACUAUGUAUGAUUAUUAAGUUUUCUUACAUUAGGAAUUUGGAAAAACCUGGGGUUUUGGAAUGAAACUUUGAAGGGUUUAAACUUGGUUGAUACUUGGUAUUGUAUUUAUAUAAUUCAGAAACUCAAAACAAAGACCAGUGUUGUUCAUUGAACUUUGUUUAAGUUGAUGAGUUAAGAACUAGGAUUUUUAGGAAAAGUAUAUUCCAAGGGCUUCCACACAUCAAUGUGGUCACAUUUUUUUCAGAUGUAACUUCCGAUACGCCUUGAAAGUGUCCGUCUAUUUGUAGUGGUUAAGUGCUUGCCUAUAGUUCAUUCUUUUCUUUCUUUCUUUUUUUUUUUUGGUUAAACUGUAAUCAUUUAGCCAAACGCCAUAAUCCAUUGACAGAGUUAGAUUCCUACUGUGGCAUGUUGUGCGCAUUUAAUAGAGAUAUGCUAUACCUAUGAAAAACCUACGAACAUUUCUUACGAUAUAUGGUACAUGUUUGUUAUACGAUUCAUCUUAUCUUAUCUAUUUGAGUACACUAUAAAGAAAUGGAAGAUAUUCACCAGAUAAUUCCUUAGUCUUGCAGAGUAGUAUUUAGAUAGAAAUGUAUAAAACUUACUUGAAAUAUAGACCAUUUAAAUCCGACUAUCCAACCUUUCAAAAAUUUGAUUUUACUACCCAAUCUUUUGAUUUGUUUGAUUUAAAUGAUUUGAUGAUUCUUCCGAUAUAAAAUUUAAGCUAAUUGCUUGCUUAAAUAAAUUAAUAGUUACGUAAAUUGCAUAAAAUAUAUUAACUAAACCUGUAAUAUACACGACGAUUCAAAAUUUGAAGUUAAAGAGUCACUAAUUGGAUUAAAUCAAGUAAUUUAAAAGAUCAGGCAGUAAAAUCAAAAUUUUUUAAGGUUAGGUAGUCAUAUUCAAAUGGGUGAUAGUUGAGCUAAGUUUUAUCCAUGUUUCCCUAAUUUUUAUGCAGCAUUUAGUAGCAUGGGGUUGCAUAAUAAAUGCUCUUCUUCUUUUUUUUUUUUUUCCUUUUCCUUCUCUCUUUUUUCCUCCUUUUAGGCAUAUUCAUUCAUCUUUCGAUCAAUCAUACAACCACCCUCAUCUUCUAAUCUAAUUGGUAAAAAGAUGAAAAAGUGAUUAUGGAUGUUACUUCUUAAGUUUCAUGGUAUCAUUAAUUUUAAAGCUCCAUUUAGAUAAAAAUGCUGCUCCUUUGGGAGUUCAAUAGGUAUAUCUCCCACAAAUUUUCCUCAUAUAUUCCGUGUUAUUUGUUACUAUUGAGAAAUCAACGACGGAUUCAAACUGAUUUGUAGAAAUAGACUGAUCCCUAGUUCGAUUACAUCUGCAGUGUUUUAAUUUUAACAGACCGGUUCUAAAUACCAAAUAGUCGAAAUAGAUACUCUGAAAGGCUCCAAGUUCUAAUCUUGUGAUCAACCUUUGUUCUUGUUAGUUCGAAGUGGUUGUUGUUGGCAACUCUCAUCUGAUGCUCUACAUUCCAUUUCCAUCUCGCAAAGGCUUUCGCGAAGAGCUACAUCAAGGGCAAGAGAAAGGAGCUCUCCCCACAAGAUGCUGCUGUACUGAUCCAGCGGAACUUCAGGGCGCAUCUCGCGCGGCGCUCGCAGGUGCUUUGCUGCCUUCGUGAUCUGGCGAUAGCCAAAGCUAAGCUGAAGGAGAUCAGAGCCUUGUUCUGUAACUUCUCCUAUCGCCGCCGGAUCGCACAUGAUGCGGAGGAGCGCCAGAGGUUCUCGGAGAAAAUUAUCGUCCUCCUCCUUACUGUUGAUGCCCUCGAGGUAGUUCAACUAAAAUGGUCUCAUAAUUGCUUAUUUGUUUGUUAUUCUAACAUUCGAAAUCCUUAUUUUGGUGGCCAUUAAAGGGACCCGACUACAUGAUUCGAGCCGCGAAGAAGUCCAUGAUCGACGAACUCGAGGAGAUGCUUGAGGUGGUGGAUCCGCAGCCCGGGAAGCUAAAUUCCCUCGGGCGUCGAAAGUUCGAUCUCCCCAACGGACAAAUCACCGAUGAGAUGAUUUCGAGCAUCGAGGAGGUGGUGAGAGUCGCCCAAAACGGUGCCUAGCGCUCCCUAUCGGAAUCGGAGCGGCUUUCUUGUUAAGGUAUGCAUAGUUUCGUGUUGUUGUAUUUCACUUCUUUGAAUGUUUGUGUGUCUUACCUUGUUUACUGUUCAAGACUUUUCCGAAAAGCUUUGCUGAAACUGUUGCGUUUUCUUCGAGUUUGAAUCUAUCAGUGUGGUUUUGCGCUGUGUAUGUGUGUGUUAUUAUGUCAUGCAAAUUUGGUUUCAUUUUCGAGUUUCGAAUCGAUUUGCUUUGCUCUAUAUUGUGGAGUGUGAUAAAUUUGUGAAGGCGGUUUCAUUGCGGCAGUUUAUAGCUGGAUAUAAGGCCUGUUUGAUGGAUAAGUGAUGUGAUAUUUUAAUUAUUAUUGUGUAUCAAUCACAAUAUUGUUAUAUCACUUUCACAUUAGUGAUAAAUCAACAUUUAGUGACUCAACUAGGUUGUGGGACUUUGAUUACAAGAAUUCAAAAAAUUUGAGUCAGAAAUUACCAAAAAAAUUAAGGUUUAAGGAUCAAACAUGAUUGAGGUUAUACUAGUUCAGAUAAAAUAUUACAGUUUCCAUCAAAAUAGGAAAAAAAAAUUAUAUUUUUACAUGUUAACUCUUUUUAGGCUCAAAAACCAAUGGGCCCAAUAAAGCUCUAGUAUGUAGAGUAUUAUUUAUUAUGAAGUACAAUUUUCUCGUAUGUAUUUCUUUUGGACCCAUUUAGGGCCCACUAGUAUCUGAAUUAUCAUCUACAUUUUAUUUUGGUCUUCGAACUUUUAAUUUCUCUAUAAUCUUAAAAGAGUUUGUUUUUAGUCCUUACACAUCUUUACUAUUAGGAUGCGUUUGGUUCGAGUUAUCCUGGCAAGAUUAUAGGCAAUCCUAUAAUGAUUACUGUGUUUGGUUCAUCCGCUAUGUAAUCUAGUCAUUAAUGUAGCAUUACAAAUCGAGCAGCAUUACACCAAAAAUAUUAACGAAUAUUAACGAGAGGGGGUCGUGUAUCUUGCAUUACUAAAAACCGGUAAUACUAUAUAUUAUAUAAAAUGACAAUUUUACUCUCGAAACCCUUUCAAUACGUUAUUUUAAAAAAUUUAAUUAAUAAUUUUGAAUAGUCAACUUUUAAAUUUUAAAUUUUGAAAUUAAAUUUUUAUAUUUUAAAUUAAAAUAUUAAAUUUAUAUCCUAAGUGCUCCCAUUUGCUUUUCGGCCUUUAAUUUAAAAAAUUAAAUUAUUUAAAAUAAAAUUUGGUAAAAAAAUUAUUGUUGGUAAACAGUAAAAAAAAAUUUACGAAAUAUGACUAAGGGUAAUUUUGGAAUAGACUAUACUUUAUUGUCUAGAUUACUAAAUUUUAUAGACAGAAUCAAACAUAAUAACACUAUAAACACUGCAAUCCAGCAUUACAUUAUUGUAUUAAACUAAACGCACUAAUACAGCAUCAGUAGUAAUCUCAUUUAGAAAUUCAAGAUACCUGAAUAUAUCGAAUACUCUGUAAUAUUAUAUAACUCGAACCAAACGCUCCCUUAAAGAGAAAUUAUUAUCUACAUUCCAUGCAUUUGUAUAUUUAUAUGCUACGCAUUUAUCGGUUCUUUAUUUUAUCUCACAUUUCAACUGUUCCAUCCAUUGAACAAUAAUUGUAUAGCUGUUUAGAAUAUAAGAUAACCUAGGGGCGAGCAAUAAUGCUUAUUCAAAGAUGAGGACUACACUGAAAUGUUAUUGAAAGUAGGGCUGGCGAUCUAGCCCACUGUUUGCGAGACAGUUCGUGUUCGGUUCAAAAUGGGUUUAAGAUCGAUCGCUUGUUUAAUAAAUGAGCCGAACACGACUGAAAUUUUUCAGCUUGCUCAUGUUCCGUAUACCUCGAAUUAAAGAAAUCUAUAUUUUUUGAAUUUUAGUUAUUAGAUUAAGAUUCUAAUUUUCUAUUUUUCUUUCAAAUUUUCACUCAAGAGUAGAGCUGAUAAUCUAAUCUAUUGUUCACGAGCUAGCUCGUGUUCGACAUGUUUAAUAAACCAGUGAGUACGAGUCAACCCAGCCUGCUUAUGUUCGGCCGUUGAACAGUCCUAAUACAAUAUUUUCGUUAGUAAUGCUGACCCUCGAUAAGAGCUUAUUUGGUUCACAGAAUUUAAAAUUUUCUUAAAUAGUUAGCCUCUUAGAUAUUAUUAUUUUAGAAUAUAUUUAUUUAGAUCAUAUAUUAGAAUAUCUAGAAUUUUAACAUGAAAUAAAAACAUCUUAGAUUACCACAAUAUCCUUAUUCCUAGAUAUCGACAUUGAUUGAUAUCUAUACUAUAUAUUAAUUGGCACUUUCAUCACAUCAAAAGAAGGCGCUUUAGGAGAGCCACAAAUUAUCAUAUAAGCCAAUAAAAGAUGGUCACAUGUCCAGUAAAUAUUAAUGGGCACUUCUAUCACACUAAAAGAAGGCUCUCUAAGAGAGCCACAUAUUAGCAUAUAAGCAAAUAAAACAUAGCCACAUAUGCGGUAAAUAUUUUGGAUGCAUCUAAUGCCCCGUAAAUUAAUUCUAAAAUAUGCAUUAAAAAUAAAUAUCUGUAAUACAAUCAAAUAUUUAAAUAUUUUAUAUUACAUAUAUCUAUACUAUAUAUUAAUUGGCACUUCUAACCCAUCAAAAGAAAGCUCUCCAAGAGAGCCACAUAUUCCAUUAGCAUAUAAGCCAAUUAAUAAAAGAUCGCCACAUGUCCGGUAAAAUAUUUUGGACGCAUCUAAUGCACCGUAAACUAAUUCUAAAAUAUACAUCAAAAAUAAAUAUCUGUAAUACAAUAAAUUAUUUAAAUAUUUUAUAUUAUAUAGUUUAUAUUAUAUUUUAUUUUAUAGUAUUAAUUAUCAAAUAUUCUAUCAAUAAUUUUAUAUUCUAUGCGCUAUAUGGAGGAUUAGUAUGCGCCAGAUAUAAAAAAGAUUUCUUCUCUUUCUCGAAAUUAUAAGUGCACCGUAUAAAAUAUUCUCUGCAUCAUGUGUAUAUGUAUAUGGACAUCGCAUACUUAAAAUCCUUUAAUAAAAAUUUUAAAAUUAAUUUAUUAAACUUUGGAUAUUAGAAUAUUAGUCAUCUAACAUAAAUUGCGAUGUAUAAAGUAUUAGUAUAAACCAGGUGCAUAUAAUAGUCUCUUUUUUCUCCAAUCAAGUUUAACAAAGUAAAAACACCUCUAUCUAUUCUUCAAUUUGAAAUAAAUCCUCUAACUUUAACUUUUUAGUUAAAAAUAGCAUUAAAUACUAUAAAGUUUAUUUAAAUUUUCAAAUAACAAUAUUAGAAUAAUUUAACUUUACAAUAUUGAAAGUUAAGAAAAUAUUAAUUAAAUAAAGUUAUUUUUUAUAGUAUACAGAAGAAUACUGUAUAGAUUUUUUUAAUCUUUUUUUGUUAUAAUUUUUAUAAUUUUAAAAUUUUAAUAAUAUUGUAUAUCUUAAUUGAUUGAAAUAUCACUUACCUGCCGUGAAGCGCAGGCCCUGUACUAAUGUCUAGUAAUACAUUAUUUCAUACUACAAAGAAUAAUAUAUAUUGUAAGUUUAAAAAGGUAUUUUAGUCCAUUUCAAAAUCUUAUGCGAUAAAAAUUCCCACAUUUUAUGCGGAUAAAAAACAUCAUGAGAAUUAUAAAUCUAUGUCAAAGAACCAAACACAGGAGUUCUCAAUUCCUAACCCAUAUAUAUUCAUGAAAAUUUUAAGAAAAUACUUUAAACCAAACAUGCUCUACCAAUUAGUAAUUUAAUGCCUCUCGAAAGUAAAAAUAACUCUCCUUGUUUUGUUUCUUGUAGCUAUUUUGUUGAUGGGUGCAGAUAUUCGAAAUUUUAUCUAAACCCGAAUUCCAAAUGAGUGGACAUAUCCGAUGCUAAAUAGAUAUAGUUUCGGAUAUGAAUAUCAAAAACGAAAAUAUAAUAGAUUUGGAUUUGAAUAUGAAUUUUGAUUGUUCCUGAUCGGAAUUCGAACCCAAUCCGAACCCGAACUGAUUUUACAUUAUAUAAUUUAUACAUAAAUGUUUGAUGUUAUAUUUGAAUUUAUAUUUUAAAAAAUAUAAAUUUAAUCUAAUAUAUUUUUAAAUAUUGUAAAGAGAAAAAUUGUUUAAGUUCGGAUUUCAAAAUUAAUAGUCAAAUUCGAAUUCAAAUUUUUAAAGAUCUGCUCUCAAUCUGACCCGUUAACAUCCUACCAAACAAACAUCUUCACCACAAUUUGCUCGCUGUCACACCCCGCAUUAUACGUUCCCCGGGCACGCCGACAAAUCCACUGUAUACAAAAGAAUUUUCUCUGUAUACGAAGCGAUAGCUGUACCUAUAAAACAUACAAUACUACAAACAGUAGUAUAGAUACUACAAACAGUAGUAUAGAGCUGCCAGAAGAACCAGUAACUAAAAACAAACUGAGUUUCAUAUACAUACGUCAAAACCAAGAUACAAAACUACUCGCACUGGCGAAUUAAACAUCUGUAUGUACAUGAACUCCAGCCAAAAACAACUACCUGCUGUAGGGGCACCUCUAGCUCGGCUCGUCUGGUAGGGCUCUAACUCACGACGCCCUUGCCUCGAUCCUGAUCAGCAACAGCAGCAGCCGAAGACGAUGGCUCUGCAAAAACAAGGUAACAACAGGGCGUGAGAACUACUGUAAAAAUAAGUAGUUCUCAGUGGGUGCCGCACUCAACAUCAUCGGUCCACCCAUUAAGUCUACAGAAGGGAGCAAAAAUAGUAAUAAAUGCCGGAAUAAAAUCUACAGCUAUAAGUUAUUACACUAUCAUGCUCUAAACUAACCUACUGUAAUGAUGUCAAUCCCGACUGAAUCUCUUUAAGGACUGUAAACAUACCUGUCCCAGAGACUGUCAAUACACCCGUCCCGCCCAGUUGGGACUAUCCAGCUACCUCCACACUAACCAGUCCAUGGGGAGCAAGUCUAAUCGGCAUGACCGACACCAACGCGAAAGCACAGCUCCCGUCUCUGGAGUGGCACUCGUGGGAGGUACCCAACCGAGUAUGCAGUGUAUCUCUGUCGAGCUAAAUCGGGCUCUCACAAGCCUAAGUCAAGUAACCGACUCUAACUGGUCUAACAACCAAUAGGUCACGUACCCUCGGCACAAUCUGACGUCAAAACGGCGAUAUGGGUCCACCGUCAACCCCGACGAUACCCAACAGUCCGGAACAGUCUGAACGCUACUGUAAAAAUACGCUAGGCAUCACAACACGAGCGUAACUGAACUCUAAACUAUCAGGGGUAUCCAUCACACCCAUACUGCGAUGAUACAAAUUUACAACGGCUCCUAGAGCUAAAUCAGGUAGUGUAAACAGGUGAUAGGUCCAAAUCGCCGAUUUUCUCCUUAUUCAAUUUUCAAGUCCAACAUGUAUAGUUUAACUAGAUUCAGAAACAUGCUUCAAAUUCAGAUUUCAGCUAAUAUGCUACUCAAUGAAUUUAAGCUAGUAUAAAGUAUAAACAAUCGAAAACUAUACAUGUUUACUAAUCUCUACUUAGAAGUAAACCCGAUGAAAACACACCUCAAAUGCUAACUCCUAGCAGCGAAGGGAGUCUCGAACCAAUAAUAAUCCCUGCUGGAUCAACUGAAAUCCUCAAAGUCCAGAAAUCGAGCUAUCUCCAAGCUCUACAUAUCGAAAUCCGUCAAUUCUGUCCAAAUACAACAGCAGCAGAGUAAAAUAGAAGUUCGAUCAAGCUAACCUUCACCAAAUUCAGUAAUCUUGGACUUCGUGGAUUCCUCUCGAAGUCUUGAAUCCAUCAAACCAAGUUUCGUCACAAUCCGACACUUCUACGUUGCGUACGAGCCAAAACGCCGACGGUCGACGCUGGUAUUCUGCAAGAACAGCAUCCUUGAGCUUGAAGUAGUAAGCACUUGCAAUGGUUGGAGGAAUUUGAUGAACAUCUCACCUCAAAAGCUAUUCGAACUCCGGCGCGACGUCGAGAACAGCGAAAAUGCACCCUCGCGCGGCUUCCCCGUAGCGCUACGACGAUGAAGACACGCUCGAAAGGCACCGCGGCGCGACGUCGACAACAAAUCAAAUCCACCCAAGCUCCUCCUUGCUCACGAUCGGGUCUAGAGAGAGAGAGGAGAACAAUAAAAUCCUCUCUCUCUAACCCUCUACGGACAUAUAAGCGGUGGAGAGGUGUGGGUGACACGAACGAGGUAGAAAAUUACCAAAAUGCCAUCUCACCUACCCUGGUGUACUGGAACACAAGCCCGUGUACCGGUAUCAGAGGCCAACCCGAGAGCAGUCUGCGCGCAACCCUGUGCAGUGUACCGGUACACCAUGCUGGCUGUACCGGUACAGCAAGCAGAGAAACCUGCUAUUUGCAGAUUCCCUUGCCAAAAGCUGCUCUCGCGUCGCAUAGAGUUCGUUUUGCGUCUAUUUCGCGCUAACGCGACUCAGACUUGUCCCGACACUCUCCAGAGCUAUCGACAAGCCUUUACUGUUGUACACCAGGGAUCUCACAUCCUUCUCCACUACAAAAAGUUUCGUCCGCGAAACUUAAGCAUACCUCAGCUCAAGUAUCAAACAAAUAGGGAUAGGAUGUAAGGACUGAGAUUUUGACAGUGCAACUAAACUCUCUGUUGACGAUGUUUAUGUGUGUAAUUUAAUUACAUAAGCACUCGUCAAGUUUCAGGAGAAAAUGAGCUAAAAUGGAGAAGUUACGCGAUUAUUAGUUUUCACUUAAGUGAAUAGUAACUCCGGUUUUCCGGAGAAGCCACGGAGUAGAGAUGGCUUUCGGCGCGUAUCGGACUCCGUUCAUAGCGAUCCAAUAGCUCGUUUUGAACGGUUCAGCUAUUCUGGAACCAAUGGCACUGACGGAUUUCAGAUACGAUGCACAGUUUUCGAGAAAAAGGAGUUUUAAGAAAAGAGGGUUUCCGCUCCUUGCUAUUCGUGCAUUUUAAAACUCCUCGUGCUCUGUGCUUGUGACCUGGGGUUAGGUGAGAGUUGUUUCUGGUACCUACUNNNNNNNNNNNNNNNNNNNNNNNNNACCCCGGCCACUUCUCCAUCUUUCUCUUUUAAUCGAUCCACCACCCUCUCGGCCUGAGUACGCAAGGAAGUGCGCGAAGCCCGAGGAUCCUUCACCUGUGGCUGAGGGCUACCUCCGGCGCCGAUUUCCGCCGGCCUCGGUCGUACACCGCGCCGCCCGCACCCUCCUCGCUCUACGCGGCCAGCCAGACCCGACCGAGACCGAGCGCAGCCUGGUUGUGGCGCACGCCGCCUCCCACCCUCGGUCCCGCCGCCCUCGUAUGGCCUCCGGCGUGCCCCCGCGCGCCAUCGCCGCCGCUCCCGUUGCCGCCGGCCGCCGCUCUCCCUCUCUGCGGCCGCCCAGAUCAAGUGCGGGCCGAGCCGGGGCUAGCUCUGCCUCCGCGCGCCGCCGCCGUUCCCCGCCGGUCAAUUUGCCCUUCCUCCACCUCCGGCGAGGUGCCGCCGACGCCCCGACCUUGCUCCGGCCGCCGCCAUGGCCACCGCCACCUCUGGAGCCGCAUUGAACCCGCGCGGGCUCAGUUUGGUCCAGCACCGCCGCCGCCGUCUUCCGCCGCCGUCCAGCGUGAGCACCGGCUCCACCUCGCCGGCCGCACUCGUCCGCCGCCGGCGCCCCCACCGCCGGAGCUCCCUGUCAACCGUGGUGAGCCUAUGCUCUCCUCGGGUUGUACAUCUAGGGCAUCAAUGCCCGCCGUCGUCGCCGCCUCCCGUCGCCUGUUAACGUGAGCCUCGGCCUUCUCUGACCUGGAGCACUUUCCCCUGGCAGGCUUGCCCGCUGUCCGGCCGCCGCCGGCCACCCCGAGCCCUGCCUAGCUCCGGUAUGCUACUGUUUUAAGUUCCAGCACUGUAGUUUAGGGUUCCGGUCACCUUUCGGGCGAUCCGAAGGUACCCCGAUGACAGUGGAAGUGAGCACGAUCAUCGUUACUCCGUGCUGAGCAUCGUUCUCACCUCCAUCGGGGUCAACGGUUCCCCGGUUUGCGUGUUAGACGCGAUUUAGAUACCAUGCGCGCUGUUUCGCUGAAGUUCGCUUCAUGCGCGCGCCCUCCACAGUGGCCGGAAUUGCUCCGAAAGGUGAGCACGGCCUCCGGCACGUCGAGACCUGUCAGUAGGUGUCUCGGUUUGGCUGCAUGACUCCUGGUUUGUGUAGACGGACCAUAAAAGCGCCGAAAUCGCAUGAAAUAAUGCGAUUUCGGGUAUUCGGACGGGCUUUUAUGCAACUUUGUUCGUCGUGGUUGCUGUUGGCAGCAAGUAUGGGCUAAGGAUAACCUCUGGACUGAUCGUCCAAGGCCCCAAGCCUUUGCGGGAAUCAAAAAGUGAUUUCCGGUGCGUUUCUCGGCGAAAUCCGCCGACGGAAUGCGGGUUCGGUUCGGAAUUAUUCCGACGGUGCUUCGUGAGCUGAUGUGUAGUCGUCGAGCCUUAUUGGCUGGUCACCCGUGUCAUUUCGAAGGUUCAGAAAUGACGGGUGAGCGAUGGUGGGUUCCGGUGUCGAAAUAGACACUUCCGGGAACCCGGAUCGGAAUAAUUAUCAGACGAUAAUCGUUUCGAUGUGAGGCUAGGUGUUUGCUGCCAAGAACCAUGAAUAAUGGCGUUUAAUGGCAGCGUGUGACUCGUAGUGCGAGUCGGUGAGUUCCGGGACAGUCCGUGGGUCCCGGCAGAGUCUCGGUGCAGUUUUCGGGAUUUCCGGUUUGUUCGGUAAUCGGUUUUGGGAAACCGAUCUCCGUGGGAUUGUUGUGGGUUGUGUAUUCAGUGGUUUAUUUGUGGGAUUAUGCUUUUAAGGGUUUCUUAGUCGUGGGUUAGACACUAACCCAGUGGACCCUCCUUAGGUCCUGUUGACGUUCUUUUGCAGUCAGGUGACAGGCGCGACAGUUGUACAGGUGGGUACUUCGAUCCGACGUCGGUACAGUGGUGCACGUUCGGUGAUGGUUUCUUACCCUCGCUCCUUUGUUAUUAUCCAUGCAUACGUUAUAUAUUGAGCUUUGCACCUCUGUUGUUUACAUUACACCCACGUUGUUUGAUUAUACUCUACUCGUUGUCUGCAUGCUUAGUAUCCUGAGUAGGAGUAGAGUAGUUCUAUCCGCAUCCGUAUCGGUUGACCUAGUUGGUCUCUUGAGCAUCCGUAUCUGUUGACCUAGUUGGUCUGUUCUGCAUUCCUCUACUCAGUUAGUUCCAUAUUGAUAUCAUGCUUAGGAGUAGAGUUGACUUAUCGGUUCACUAUAUCUGUGAUUUGGUUGGGCGGUUUUCCUAUUUUGAUAUCUAUGACCUAUUCGGUCGAGUUGCUACAGUUCUAUCUUGACAUACGUAGCCGAUUAGUUGCUGAUGGCCAUUACGGUCGGUGUGCCCUGAGGGGCUGGAUUGUCGGCUAGUUGCCGAUGGAUGAUCUUUGAGCAUACUACAUUGAUCGCCACUGCAGGCUACGCAUUUCACGAACACAGCGGUCUGAUCCACCGCAAAGAGGGUGUUUUUUCCGGAAAGUGGUUGGAUUGCAACCCGUGAGCCCAUGGGCUUUUAUUGCGAGGUAUAUGCUUGACCAGGGUCAUUGCGAGGGUCAGUUACACGUUGAGCAGUGUGGCAUGGGCUGAGGUCUUCGGACCAAUAGGGCAGCGAGAUUUGGUACUUUUGAGCUUAUCGUCAGUUGACGCAUGCAUCAAGUAGCUGUAGUGUUUAUUUUCAAUACAUCCUUAUCUGUUUAUUGUAGCUACUUUUUAUUUACCUGCAUCUAUACUUGACAGCUCGCUUACUUAUCAGCAUCUUUACUUACCAGACUUAUGUCUAUCUAGUUCUCCGUGUUGUUGUAUAGCUUUCUUCCUUGAUCCGGGAGUCUCCUCGCCUUUGGGCUUGCGUACCACUGGGAGGGGAGACAUGUUUACAUGUUCUCACUCCCCCAUCAAUUUUUCAGGUAUGCGCGGGCGAUGAGUAGUGGGACGAGACGUGAGGUACGUGUGUAGCGGUCGAUAGAGCUUCCGACCCAGGUUAUUCGAUUUGUUAUUAUCUCUUGGAAUUUCUGUUGAUAUAUAGUUAGUUAUUUUAGUGUUCAGUAUUUACAUUUGGAAAAUGUGAAUUUCUGUAUUUUGUAAAUAAAAGGUUUUCUACCCCUCGUGGUAGCGCUUUAAAAGAAUAAAGGUUUCUGUGUAGGAAACAGUUUUCAAAAGAUUUUUGUGGAUUUCUGUUUAAACCUUGAAUGUAAAACUGUGAUGUAAUGGUGAAUUAUGAAUGUAUAGUUAUCUUUAUAUUCUCUGGUGUGUUUGUAUCGUAUUGUAUCUGUGUAUUGAUCGACGCCGUACAAAUACAGGGAGACUUUGUCGCGUGUGAACAGUGAUUCCCUGUAUUUGUGGCGGAAUUGGCAUACUCUGGGUCAGGUUUAAAAAAAAAAAAAAAAAAAUUCAUACGCUUUCCGCUUUGUUUUAACCAGAAAAAGGGCACCGGGGCGUGACAUAGGACUCCCUCAUCACCAUCUCUGGCUCCCAAGUCGCUCCGCUCCUCAUGAUUACUCUACUGCACCUUUUACAUACGGAUGACCCGAUUACGCAAUUCUUUGGUCUCCCGAGCGAGAAUCCGCACAAUCAUCCCUCGUAUCUCAGAUCCUCGCUAAUCUCUAGCGGAGUGAAGUCGAUCACGUGAGAAGGAUCGAACACGGUAUCUCCUCAAUGCCGAGACGUGGAAGGCAUCGUGGAUACCGGUCAGUCGGGGAGGUAGAGCAAUCCUAUAUAGCAACUGGUCCAACUCACUCCAAUACCUCAAAAGGGCCAACGAAACGUGGACUGAGCUUUCUAACGUACUCCGAAUUUGCGAAUCCCUCUGGAACGACGAGAACUUUAAGAAAAACAUGAUUUCCAACCUAGAACUCUAAGUCUUGUCUCUUGGUAUCGCAUAGCUUCUUUGGCGGCUCUGGCGCUGUCAAAAGGUGUCGUCGAACAACUCUCACCUUUUCCUCCGCCUCUAGUAAAAACUCAGGCCCAUGCGUCUUCCUUUCACGCCACAUCUCCAACACAAAGGGGAUCGACAUAAUGCGUCCAUACAACGCAUCAAACGGAGCCAUAUGAUGCUCGCUUGAUAGCUUGUUAUUGUACGCAAACUUAGCCAGUCUCAAACGUCGAUAUCACCCCCUCCCAAAGUCCAAGACGUAUGCUCUCAGCAUGUCUCAGAGUCUGAAUGGUCGCUCUGACUGACCAUCUGUCUGUGGGUGAAACGCUGUGCUGAACUGGCAACUGUGUACCAAGACUGUCUGCAAACUCCUCCAGAAGUGUGAUAAAAUCUCAGAUCCCUAUCAGAUACGACUGAAAUCGGCAUGCCAUGCAGCUAACAAUCUCAUCCAGAUAUAAGCUGCGCGAGUCUCUCUCUGGACCAGGUGGUCUGAACCGGUAGGAAGUGAGCAGACUUAGUCGUCUGUCCACUAUCACGCCCAAAUCGCAUCAUAGCCACCCUGUGCUCUAGGCAAUCCCACGAUAAAUCCAUCGUGAUCUGCUCCCAUUUUCACUCGGCACUGGCAAUUCUGAAGCUUGCCAGCAGGUACCUGAUGCUCGCCUUCACUCUGUUGAUAAGUCAACACACUGAGCCGCACAAAUCUACCAAUGUCUCUCUUCAUCCAUCCACCAAAACUGUGCCUUCAGAUCCUUAUACAUCUUGUUCCACUAGGGUGAACGUAUAAGGUAAAACAAUGAGCCUCUCUCAAAAUAUUCUCUUGGAUCUCCGCAUCCCAGGCAACACACAGUCGAUCAUCUGUACCGCAGUACUCCCGAACUGUCCACAACAUGGCUGGCUAUACCGUACAGAGGCCACCGAGCAGUCUCGCGCAACCCUGUGAAGUGUACCGGUACCCAUGCUGGCUGUACGCGUACAGCAAGCAGAAAACCUGCUAUUUGCAGAUUCCCUUGCCAAAAGCUGCUCUCACGUCGCACCAGAGUUCGUUUUGCCUCUAUUUCGGUCAACGCGACUCAGACUUGUCCCGCACCUCCAGAGCUGUCGACAAGCUUUACUGCUGUACACCAGGGAUCUCACACUCGCACUUAAAUUUUCCUAUAUAAUCUAAUAUUCUAAUUUGCAAUGUGUGGCCAAAAAAAUUAAACUACAUAUAAUUUGGUGCAUGUGCUUCUUCUCCCCCAUAUAAAAUUGAAGUGGCAUUGGGACCCAACUCGAUCUUUAGUAGCCUUUAGCUUUUAUAGGGCUAUAAAGUUAUAAUAAUAAUUAAAAUACACCAAUCAUAUAUACUAAUAUACAUGAGUUUGGAGAAUGUCCAUUUCCUUUUGAAUAAAAAAUAUACAUUUAUUAUUGGCUUAAUUUUUACAGCUCCUUGUAAACAUAUCGAAUAACAAAUAUAUCUCUAUAAAGUUCAACUUUUUAUAUUUAUUUCUGUAAAAAUUCAGUAAUAUUCAUAUUUGCCUCUCUUGUUUGUUACUAUUAAGACACUGUUUAUUUUUUAGUAGAAGAUAAGUGUAAUGACAUUAUAAACCAUCACAAUAUGUCACUUCAAAAGUCUAAUUGUUAGAAUUAUGUAGAAAAUACUCUCUAAAUUUUUUAACAGUCAUUUUUUUUCUCUAUACCAUCCACAUAAUAUAAGACAGAUAAAAAGAUUAAUUUAUCUUAUUCACUAUUAAGGAUUAAGUAUUUUAUCUGUGGUUAACUAUAUUUUUUUAACAAACCGCUAUUAGUAGGGGAUAUUUGAAAAACGUUAGGAUUUUAAUAGGAAAAAACAUGAAAAGGUUAAAUUUUAUAAGAACAUAUUUGCUAUUCGAUAUGUUUCGCGGAAGCUGUAUGCAAUUCAAUCUAUUAUUUAUAUGCAUGUCAACUUGAGCUUGUUGUGACCCUUAUUAUUAUAUUAUUAUUAUUAUUAUUAUUAUUAUUUUAUUUUCUUUGGGCUUGUUUUAAGUUCUGUGGUUAGGAGGCAUCCCCACAUGUUUUGGGGGGAUAACUUGAGGCUUGCUUAUAAUGAUGUCACAGAAAUAAUAGGGAAAAAUGUGCAAGACCCCUAAGCUUCAACAGUUAGCAAGUAGGGCUUAAUUUUUAGUUUUGAUAGUUAGAUUAUCUAAAACAUAUCAUAUAGUUUUAAUAGAUCAUUAUUAUCUCAUUUUGAUCGUAUUGCAUAUAAUCUCACGACGCUUUAAAAUAUCAAAAAAAAUAUUGUUUUUAUUUUAAUACAGGGACAAAAUAAUAGAUUGUCUUGAAUCUUCAAUUAUAAUGCUUAUUUACAAAAUUAUGUGCGAGAUUAUGUAAUCAAACGGCUGUUUAAUUGGUAACUUCACUCUACAAAAAGAUCUAAUUAAAUUAUUUUGAUUAAAAAAAAAACUAAUAGCUAAAAAUUAAGUCUAUUUAUAAAAAUGAUAAAGUUCAGUGGCCUUUAUACAUUUUUUUGCCAAUAAUAGCUUGGUGUUUCUAGUAGUAGAGACAACAAAAUUUCUGGUAGAUAUGCUUAGAAGCUUCUUUGUGAUGUGACAUACAUUUUUUUUAAUAAUCUAGAAAUAUGUACCAAGAUUUCUUGAAGUUUGAUUUUAAUUUUGAUAACUAUAUUUUUUAAUUUUUGUAAAAUAAUUUAUAAGAUCAAUCAUCGCAUUCAGCCACCAUUUAUAUAAUCUGCUUAUACAAAAAAAUUAUUCUUUUAUCCUAACAUAUAGAUAAUAAUAAUAAUAAUAGAUAGAUAGAUUCGACCCUAUUAAUUUUUCAAUUCUAGUGCUUAGUAACUAAUUAGGUUUACAACAACCGCAGAAAUCGAUCAUGAUCAAAUUUGAGUACCUCUACGGAUAGUUUAAACUUCUUUAAAAUUUGAAGUUAUAUAAAAUCGUGUGCAAGAUGUGAUCAAAUUGCUAUAUUUUUUCUUUUUUUUUUUCAAUUGUGAAGAGAGAUUUAACAAAUAAUUUGAGAAAGUUUAGGAAUCUAACCGUCGAGAGCAAAAGUUCAAAGGUUUUGGCUUGCAAAAGCACUAAAAGUUUAGGGAGUUGGGUAAUUUUUCUUUCUUAGGUUAUUUUCAUAUGGUACCUCAACAAAGGUGACGAAUAGUAAAUAAAUUCCAAUAAAAUCUUAAUAAUCAAAUUUAUUUCUCCAAAAAUUCAAUGGUUUGCAAAUUAUAUCUUUCUCUUCCUCCCCUUGCUUCGUAGCUGACCGUGCAACAUACAUCAUCUCUCACUGUGGCCAAGGGUCAUCACUACAAUUUUGAAAAAGAGAUCCGAUCACUUAAGUUUUAUAAAAAUUUAUUUAUUAUUUGAUACUUUUAUAGAAAUCCAUAUAAUAAUUAUUCUCUUUAAUUUUCACUAUGGAAAAUGGGAAUGUCUCUUUCCUUAUAAGUGAAAAAGUUACAAUACGUCAAUCAUUUAGCUUUGCUUGUUAAACUUGCUAUUUUGUUCUUUCUUUUUUAAUCAUUUGAGGCAACUCCCCCUAAUUAUUAGAAGAAAGAACAAAUGAUGUGAGAGUCAAUUAAACUUCGCAUUGUAAUUAUUAGAAGAAACCACAAAUGAUGUAAGUCAUAUAAAUAACUAUAUCUUAGUACUCCUAGAGUGGNNNNNNNNNNNNNNNNNNNNNNNNNUUUAUUGUAGCUACUGUUUUAUUUACCUGCAUCUAUACUUGUCAGCUCCUUACUUAUCAGCAUCUUUACUUACCAGUACUUAUGUCUAUCUAGUUCUCCGUGUUGUUGUAUAGCUCUCUUCCUGAUCCGGUGAGUACUCCUCGCCUUCUUCGGCUUGCGGUACCCACUGGGAGGGGAGACAUGUUUACAUGUUCUCACCUCCCCCACCAUUUUUCAGGUAUCGCGGGCGAUGAGUAGUGGGACGAGACGUGAGGUACGUGUGUAGCGGUCGAUAGAGCUUCCGACCCAGGUUAUUUCGAUUUAGUUAUUAUCCUUGGAAUUUCUGUUGAUAUAUAGUUUAGUUAGUUUAUGUGGUUCAGUAUUUACAUUUGAAAAUGUGAAUUUCUGUAUUUUGUAAAAUAAAAGGUUUUCUACCCCUCGUGGUAGCGCUUUUAAAAGAAUAAAGGUUUCUGUGUAGGAAACAGUUUUCAAAAGAUUUUUGUGGAUUUCUGUUUAAACCUUGAAUGUAAAACUGUGAUGUGAAUGGUGAAUGUAUGAAUGUAUAGUUAUCUUUAUAUUCAUCUGGUUGUGGUUGUAUCCUGAUUGUACUGUGUAUUUGAUCGACGCCGUACAAAUACAGGGGAGACUUUGUCCGUGUGAACAGUGGAUUCCCUGUAUUUGUGGCGGAUCUGGCAUACUCUGGGGUCAGGUUUAAAAAAAAAAAAAAAAAAAAUUCAUACGCUUUUCCGCUUUGUUUUAAACCGAAAAAGGGCACCGGGGCGUGACAUAGGACUCCCUCAUCACCAUCUCUGGCUCCCAAGUCGCCUCCCGCUCCUCAUGAUUACUCUACUGCACCUUUACAUACGGGAUGACCCGAUUACGCAAUUCUUUCGUCUCCCGAGCGAGAAUCCGCAACAAUCACUCCUCGUAUCUCAGAUCCUCGCUAAUCUCUAGCGGAGUGAAGUCGAUCACGUGAGAAGGAUCGAACACGUAUCUCCUCAAUGCCGAGACGUGGAAGGCAUCGUGGAUACCGGUCAGUCGGGGAGGUAGAGCAAUCCUAUAAGCAACUGGUCCAACUCACUCCAAUACCUCAAAAGGGCCUACAAAACGUGGACUGAGCUUUCCACGUACACCAAAUCGGCGAAUCCCUCUGGACGACGAGACUUUAAGAAAAACAUGAUUUCCAACCUAGAACUCUAAGUCUUGUCUCUUGGUAUCGGCAUAGCUUCUUUGGCGGCUCUGGGCUGUCAAAAGGUGUCGUCGAACAACUCUCACCUUUUCCUCAGCCUCUAGUAAAACCUCAGGCCCAUGCGUCUUCCUUUCACCCACAUCACUCCAACACAAAGGGGAUCGACAUAUGCGUCCAUACAACGCAUCAAACGGAGCCAUAUGGAUGCUCGCUUGAUAGCUGUUAUUGUACGCAAACUUAGCCAGUCUCAAACGUCGAUAUCACCCUCCUCCAAAGUCCAAGACGUAUGCUCUCAGCAUGUCCUCAAGAGUCUGAAUGGUCCGCUCUGACUGACCAUCUGUCUGUGGGUGAAACGCUGUGCUGAACUGCAACUGUGUACCCAAGACUGUCUGCAAACUCCUCCAGAAGUGUGAUAAAAAUCUCAGAUCCCUAUCAGAUACGAUCGAAAUCGGCAUGCCAUGCAGCCUAACAAUCUCAUCCAGAUAUAGCUGCGCGAGUCUCUCUCUGGACCAGGUGGUCUGAACCGGUAGGAAGUGAGCAGACUUAGUCAGUCUGUCCACUAUCACCCAAAUCGCAUCAUAGCCACCCUGUGCUCUAGGCAAUCCCACGAUAAAAUCCAUCGUGAUCUGCUCCCAUUUUCACUCGGGCACUGGCAGAUUCUGAAGCUUGCCAGCAGGUACCUGAUGCUCGGCCUUUACCUGUUGACAAGUCAGACACUGAGCCACAAAUCUACCAAUGUCUCUCUUCAUUCCAUUCCACCAAAACUGUGCCUUCAGAUCCUUAUACAUCUUGGUUCCACUAGGGUGAACCGUAUAAGGUAAACAAUGAGCCUCUCUCAAAAUAUUCUCUUGGAUCUCCGCAUCCCCAGGCACACACAGUCGAUCAUUGUACCGCAGUACUCCCGAACUGUCCACAACAUGCUGGCUAUACCGGUACCAGAGGCCAACCCGAGAGCAGUCUGCGCGCAACCCUGUGAAGUGUACCGGUACACCAUGCUGGCUGUACCGGUACAGCAAGCAGAGAAACCUGCUAUUUGCAGAUUCCCUUGCCAAAAGCUGCUCUCACGUCGCACAGAGUUCGUUUUGCCUCUAUUUCGGGUCAACGCGACUCAGACUUGUCCCGACACUCUCCAGAGCUGUCGACAAGCCUUUACUGCUGUACACCAGGGAUCUCACACUCGCACUUAAAUUUUCCUAUAUAUCUAAUAUUCUAAUUUGCAAUGUGUGGCCAAAAAUUAAACUACUAUAUAAUUUGGUGCAUGUGCUUCUUCUCAACCCCAUAUAAAACUAUGAAGUGGCAUUGGGACCCAACUCGAUCUUUAGUAGCCUUUAGCUUUCUAUAGGGCUAUAAAGUUAUAAUAAUAAUUAAAAAUACACCAAUCAUAUAUACUAAUAUACAUGAGUUGUGGAGAAUGUCCAUUUCCUUUUGAAUAAAAAAUAUACAUUUAUUAUUGGCUUAAUUUUAUACAGCUCCUUGUAAACAUAUCGAAUAACAAAUAUAUCUCUAUAAAGUUCAACUUUUUAUAUUUAUUUCUGUAAAAAUUCAGUAAUAUUCAUAUUUGCCUCUCUUGUUUGUUACUAUUAAGACACUGUUUAUUUUUUAGUAGAAGAUAAGUGUAAUGACAUUAUAACCAUCACAAAUAUGUCACUUCAAAAGUCUAAUUGUUAGAAUUAUGUAGAAAUAUCCUCUCUAAAUUUUUUAACGGUCAUCUUUUUUUCUCUAUACCAUCACAAAUAAUAUAAGACAGAUAAAAAGAUUAAUUUAUCUUAUUCACUAUUCAGGAUUAAGUAUUUUAUCUGUGGUUAACUAUAUUUUUUUAACAAACCCUAUUAGUAGGGGGAUAUUUGAAAAACGUUAGGAUUUUUAUAGGAAAAAACAUGAAAAGUUAAAUUUUAUAAGAACAUAUUUGCUAUUCGAUAUGUUUCCGGAGAGCUGUAUGCAAUUAAUCUAUUAUUUAUAUGCAUGUCAACAUUGAGCUUGUUGUGACCCUUAUUAUUAUUAUUAUUAUUAUUAUUAUUAUUAUUAUUUUAUUUUCUUUGCCUUGUUUUAAGUUCUUGUGGUUAGGAGCAUCCCCACAUGUUUGGGGGGAUAACUUGAGCUUGCUUUAUAAUGAUGUCACAGAAAUAAUAGGGGAAAAAUGUGCAAAGACCCCCUAAGCUUCAACAGUUAUGCAAGUAGGUGCUUAAAUUUUAGUUUUGAUAGUUAGAUUAUCUAAACAUUAUCAUAUAGUUUAAUAGACAUUUAUCUCAUUUUGAUCGUAUUGCAUAUAAUCUCACGACGCUUUAAAAUAUCAAAAAAAAUAUUGUUUUUAUUUUAAUACAGGACAAAAAUAAUAGAUUGUCUUGAAUCUUCAAUUAUAAUGCUUAUUUACAAAAUUAUGUGCGAGAUAUGUAAUCAAACGGCUGUUUAAUUGGUAACUUCACUCUACAAAAAAGACUAAUUAAAUUAUUUGAUUAAAAAAAAAACUAAUAGCUAAAAUUAUGUCUAUUUAUAAAAAUGAUAAAGUUCAGUGGCCCUUUUACAUUUUUUUUGCCAAUAAUAGCUUGGUGUUUCUAGUAGUAGAGACAACAAAAUUUCUGGUAGAUAUGCUUUAGAAGCUUCUUUGUGAUGUGACAUACAUUUUUUUAAUAAUCUAGAAAUAUGUACAAAGAUUUCUUGAAGUUUGAUUUUAAUUUUGAUAACUAUAUUUUUUUAAUUUUUGUAAAAUAAUUUAUAAGAUCAAUCAUCGCAAUUGCAGCCACCAUUUAUAUAAUCUGCUUAUACAAAAAAAUUAUUUCUUUUAUCCUAACAUAUAGAUAAUAAUAAUAAUAAUAGAUAGAUAGAUUCGACCUAUUAAUUUUUCAAUUCUAGUGCUUAGUAACUAAUUAGGUUUACAACGAAACCCAGAAAUCGAUCACUGAUCAAAUUUGAGUACCUCUACGGGAUAGUUUAAACUUCUUUAAAAUUUGAAGUUAUAUAAAAUCGUGUGCAAGAUGUGAUCACAAUUGCUAUUUUUUUCUUUUUUUUUUUUCACUUGUGAAGAGAGAUUUAUCAAACUAUUUGAGAAAGUUUAGGAGAUCUAACCGUCGAAAGCAAAAGUUCAAAGGUUUUGCUUGCAAAAGCACUAAAAGUUUAGGGAGUUGGGUAAUUUUUCUUUCUUAGGUUAGUUUCAUAUGGUACCCAACAAAGGUGACGAAUAGUAAAUAAAUUCCAAUAAAUCUUAAGUAAUCAAAUUUAUUUCUCCAAAAAUUCAAUGGUUUGCAAAUAUAUCUUUCUCUCUCCCCUUGCUUUCGUAGCUGACCGUGCAACAUACAUCAUCUUCACUGUGGCCAAGGGGUCAUCACUACAAUUUUGAAAAGACAGAUCCGAUCACUUAAGUUUUAUAAAAAUUUAUUUAUUAUUUGAUACUUUUAUAGAAAUCCAUAUAUAAUUAUUCUGCUUUAAUUUUCACUAUGGGAAAUGGGAGAUGUCUCUUUCCUUAUAAGUGAAAAAAGUUACAAAUACGUCAACAUUUAGCUUUGCUUGUUAAACUCUUCUAUUUUGUUCUUUCUUUUCUAAUCAUUUGAGGCAACUCCCCCUAAUUAUUAGAAGAAACAACAAAUGAUGUGAGAGUCAAAUUAAACUUGCAUUGUAAUUAUUAGAAGAAACCACAAAUGAUGUAAGUCAUAUAAAUAACUAUAUCUUAGUACUCCUAGGAGUGGAGACAAAUGAAUUUCUAUGUAGUUUUGCCAUGCUUAGGCCCUACAUAUAUAUUGCUUAGAGGUCUCUAGUGAUGUGACAAUUUUUUCUUUUUUUAAUAAUUUUAUUGAAGCAUAUUUAGAAGGUAAAUGUCAUUAAAAUUCAUUUAAAGUCAAUGAUAUUAUGUAUAAAUAAGAAUUUUUCAUUUUAUUCUUUAAAAAUUCGACUAUAUUUGCAAUAUCUAGCUCGAACUUUCUGAAUUGUUGCAAUCAAAUUACACAAUUUAAUUUAAAAUCAGAAUUAAUGAUCUUGAUCUUAAUAAUGAAUAUAAUUUUCUAUAAAAAAAAUUCAGCUGAUUUUGAUUCUUGUAUACUAUUAAGCUAAANAAAAAAAAUUCAGCUGAUUUUGAUUCUUGUAUACUAUCUUCUGAAUCGACAAUCCAUAUCGAUCGUUAAAAUUGUCAAUUUUAAGAUAUUUUUAUUGUAAGUUAUAUGAUAUCAAAAAAUUAUAAAAUUUGGUUUUUAGUAUGUUUCCAUACUAUAAAUUGUAUUUAAACGGUAUGGAUUGUCGAUUCAGAAGUUCUAUUAUAAAAAAUAAUUUAUGAAUAUGAAAGGCUCUAAACUCAUAAAAGUGCAGUAGCUAGCUGUACUAUAUAUAAUGGUGUAGAUUAUCGAUUCAGAACUUCUAUUAUUAAAAACGAUUUAUGAGUAUGAAAGCCUCUUUACUCAUAAGAAUAUAGUUGUCAUGCUAAAUAUAGGGAGAGUAGAAUUAGUGUGCUAUUAUAAGCACGGAGGCCUCCAUACUUUUAAGUCGUUUUCGAUGAUGAAACUUUUGAAUUGAUGAUUGACUCGUUAGACUUGAUCUAAUAUAUUUGAAAUACCUAAAAAAUAAAUUUUAUUAUUUUUUAUAUAAAUUACCUAUUAAUUGAAAGGACUCAAGAUCAAAUGGGUUAGAAUACUAUUGGCAGCAAAUAUGCUCUGUUGCCAUCGAUUUGCUUUUGAUGAUGAAGUCUCGAAAUUGAUGAUCAGCAUCAUUAAACAUAAUUUAGACCAUUUGAAAUAUUUAAUAAUCAAAUUUUAUAUUUUUUUCGACAUCACCUAAUGAUUAAACGGUCGCAAAAUUUAUAAUUUUAAUGAUUGAUACAAAGCAUUUGCUCGUUUAACGGCGCAAAAGAUAUCAAAUCAGUUAAAUUUUUCUAGAUAAUUUUUUAAACUUUUAAAAUAAAAUCUAUACUCUUAAUCUUAUUCAUUAUUUGUUGAAUGAUAAUUAUUUUUUCAUUUUUGUGCCUACUUGAUGCACAAGAAAAUAAUAUGGAAAAAAAUAUAGAAAUUUAAUUUCUAGAUAUUUCAAAUCGUUUAGAUCAUGAUCAACGAUAUCGAUUGUCGAUUUUGAGCCUUAAUCAUCGAAAAUAAAUAGGUAACAACGGAGUCCGUUUGCUAUUGAUAGUAUUCAAACAAAGCCUUAAUGCCUGACAAGUUGUAAGAGGCGUUCUUCAAAAUAUAAGAGCAACAUGAUAAUUUAGAGCCUAAAUUACCAACUGUGCUAACAGUAAAAGAUUAUUAGUUGCUCAAUCACUACAUUUUAAAUAUCCAUAAUUUUUUGCAGGAAAACUACAUGGUUAGGAAAUUGCUUAUUGGAUCUAUAACACACUUAACCCAUAGGGACCCUUUUUAUUUGACUGAAUUGCCCUUUUGGUCCUCAAAAUUUAAAUUAAUUUUUAUUUUGAACUUUCUAAAUUAUGGCAAUUAAGUUUCAAGAUCCAAUUUAAUUAACUUAAUGCUAACAUGUCGGUAAUGCGGAAGUAAUAUAUAGCAUUUUAAUUAAUGAUACGGCAUUGAUUAAAAUGUCAUAUUCCUUUCACAUCAACGACUGCAAUCUUUAGUCAACUAAAUUCUUUUGAGGCAGUAUUUUGCAACAAUUUAGAAAAUUUGAGGACCAAACAGUCACGCCCGUCAAUGUUCGGGGACCAAAUUAAGGUAUAAUUUAGCCAAAAUUUUGGUUUGGCUCAUAAUAUGAUGAAAGGUACACUUAGAUCCAUGUUAUCUUGGGGGAUAGCAACUGGUGGAGAGAGAUAAAAAUAAUAAGCAGCAUUAUUUGGGAUGGCCCUACUGUUUUUGUUUUCGGUGUUGAAUUAUUGAUCUUGUUUGGUCGGAAUUAUUGUUCCUUAAAAUUCGCAAUGAAAAGUCCAAGAUCCCAAAAUCAUCAUCAUGUGGUGUUGGGCUUUCUUUGCAUUUAAUUCCUUAACAAUUUCUUUUUACAAAUAGCCUCAUAAAAUUUAUAUUUGUAAAACUGAUUCUAUCUCUGCCACGUGAGCGCUACGCAAGCGCUACGUUGGAAGUGAAGUUUUUUUAAGUUGAAUACGCUAAACUAUUUACCGUGUUCAAAUACGAUGACUUCGUGUUCCCCCUUGUACCUUUUUUACCAAUAAAUCGCCGUGGAUGUGUGGUGAUGGUCGGAUUUCCCUACAAGACCGCCAAGGUGGUAGAAGGAAGCACCGCGGAUGGAGGCUCGACGAGAAUGUGGUGGUUAUGGCCGUUGUGGUGGUGGUGGGGCAGGCGCUGGAGGAUGUAGAGUUGGAGCUCAUGGGGUGCGGCAACGGCAGAGGAGUAGGAGGUGGCAGCUACGGAGGAUGCAUAUAGCAGGCGAGGAGGCGGAGGAGAAGGAGAGGGGAUGCGCCGGGCUAUGUGUCACGAACACAAAAAAUUCUAGAAUGCAACGGGUAUAUUGAUGACGUGGCGUAACAAAUCAAUCAAAUGUCUCAUUUUAAAGGUAUAUGUCCUAUCAUGAUUAUAAAAAAAAAUAUUUUUAUUGUACUUUUGUUUGAAAAGAAGAAAUGUGAUUGACUUGUUAUUGAUGACGUGGUGUAAAUGUAACAGUAUAGAAUUCCUCCACGGACACGGACAUGGAACACGGGACACGACACCACUCAGCAAAGUUCAAAAGAUAAGGACAUGGACACGGCAAAGACACGACUAAUAAAAUAUAAUAUUUUUAGUAUAACAUACAUAUUUAUUAUAUAUAAUAUAAUAAUUUUGCAAACAAAAUUAUGUUUUUUAUAAGGGAUUCAAGGAUCUACCAAAUUAUCAUUACUUGAUGCCAUAAUUCUACAACAUUGAGGAAAAAAAAAAUAUACACAUUAAAAAAAUAACCGUUAAUUUUAAUUAUAAUACGGAUGUAAAAAAAAAUUAAAAUAAAAAGAAAGAGAAAAAGAAAGAGAAUAUCUUUUAACGUUAGAGGCUUUAUUGAAGAAAAAUCUAACAGAGAUCAAAGAUGAGAUAAAUAAUUUUUUUAUUAGGAGUAGAACUAUAUAAAUUUUUUUUAAUUAUAUUUUUUUCUAAAAUUGUACAUGAAUUUUUUUUUUUUGGGAAAACUUCAAAAACCCCCCCUGUGGUUUCGUGCAUUCUCACUUUGCUACCCUGUGGUUUAAAACGUAUCAAUUUACUCCCCUGUGGUUUCAUUUUUAUCUUUUCGGAAGCUUUUUCGUUAAUAUUUCGUUAAAUUAUAUACAAAAAACUUCAAAUAACCAUCUAUAUUUAUCGAAUAGUCACUUUAGUAUCCUUUAAUUUUAACUUUGUCACNAGGGCGAGGGUGAGAGCAUGAGGGUGAGAGGCGAGGCGGGCCAUUUUCGCCUCCGCCUCUGUCUCUGUUGCUUUCUUCGGCGAGAGGAAAAAAAAUCAACGAGAGAAAAGAGGAGGAGAGAGAAAGAGGAAAGAGAAAAAGUAAUAAUGGUAUUUUCGUCAGUUUGCUGAAAUAGCUGACCGAAUCUACAAAAAUGAAAAAGGUGGCCCAGUUUUGCAAAAGCCCAAAAUUAGUGAAUUUUUUAUGCAAAUUGGCCUAGUUAAUAUAUUAGGAAUACUUUUGUAUAUUUUGAAGCUCGGAAGAAAUGUAUAUAUUAUAUAUGAUAAUUGAAAAGUAAAAGUAUAUAGAACAUACGAUUAUUUAUGACUCAUUUUAAUUCAACUAUUUAAAAUAAAAAAAAAUGAUUUAGCUACCUAAUUUUUAAAUUCAUUUGAUUUGACCUUUUAAUAACUCUUAAACUACAAAAAUUAAAUGCAUAAUUCAUUUUUCAUACAAUUUAUGCAACUACAAUUUUAUUAAAGUGAGUAGACUAUCAAAUGGUUUAUUUCAGGUAAAUUUAAAGAUUGAGUAUUAAAAUCAAAAUUUUCAAAGGUUGAGUGGUUGAAUCAAAACAGACCAAAAUUCAGAUAAAUUCAAUAAAUUAUUACACAGUUUAAAUUUUAUAGGGAUAAAAUUUUAAUUUUAAAACCGUAGGUAUAUACAUAUGAAAUUGUGUCCAAGAAUAAACAGUGCCCUUAUCUCUUCGCCUCUCUGAGCUCUCUCUCUCUCUCUGUCUCUCUCUCUUUAAUAAAUGGUCGACUCUCUGUGAGCUCUUCGCCUGUCUUCCGAAUCAAAGCAGGUAAGUUCAAUUUCUGCUGGUUUAAUCGCUAUUCUCAAGAAAAGAGAAGCCGAGUGCCAUCUCAUCCAUGUCUGUCGGCGCCCAAUAUUCUAUCUGCUAUCCUUCACCGUCGUUCCUCCCGGUUAGCUCCUCCGUAAGCUCUGCUCCCCUGUUCCGGUUGCCGCCUUCUGCUUCCACACUAAACUAAACUAAACUAAACUAAACCAAACUAAACUCUCCCACGUUCCUUAAUUUUUUUUUUUGUCCCAGAGGGCGGCGGAGCCGAAGCCCUGCCGCAGCUGUAGAAUCAUCUCCGCGACUGCCCAGGUUUGCCCGUUGCUUUCGACGCUCCUCCUCCCCUCCCCCUGCAUUCCUCUCAACCUAUUCGAGAAACCAUCACGAGUGUGUAAUUCUUCUGGUUCCAGGGGGGAGAAAGUCGCAGCAGAAGGCGCGUAUGGCGCCGCCGCAAGCUGGUAUGUGCCCACCUCCUAGGGCAUUGAUCGAUCUCUAUUUUCCUUUUUAAGCUUGAUAAUGAGGUUUUCAUGUUUGAUGUUGUAAAAUGUAUGUUGGGGAAACCGUUUUGUAUGCUUUGGCUGCACAUUCAAGGCUAUACUAGACUAGAUGUAAUUUUCUUGGCACCCUGCUCUAGGGGUGGCAAUCCAGCUCGCUGUUCGCGAGCCAGCUCGUGUUUCGGCUUGAAAUGAGCUCGAGAUCGGCUCGCUCGUUUAGUAAACGAGCCGAACACAAGCUGGAUUUUUCAGCUCGUUUAAUAAACAAGCCGAACACGAGCUGUGGUCAGCUCACUCGUGUUCGGCUCGAUAACAGCUCGAAUACAUAUAUUUUAUAUUUAUAUAAUUUAUUUAAUUUAUAUUUUUAUAUAUAAAUAAAUAAUUAUAUAUAAUAUAUAUUUCUAUUAGUUAAUUUUUAACAAAAUAAAAAUAUAAAUGCAAGUUUAAUUAUAAAAAAAUUUAUUUAUAUGUAAAGUUUUAACUAUUACAUCAAAGUCUAAUGGAUAAGAUUUUAUAAAUUUAUUUUUUAUAUAUAUUUAAUCUAAUUUUUUUUAAUUUAUUGUUUGUUGGCCAGCUCGUGCACUAGCUCGUGUUCAGCUCGUUAAUAAACGAGCCGAACACGAGCUGGAUUUUUCGGCUCGGUACUUUAGUGAGCCAGCUCGUGUUCGGCUCGUUUAAUGAACGAGCCGAACACGAGCCAACUCCAGCUAGCUCGUGUUCGGCUCGUUUACACCCCUACAUAACGCUUAACCACGUAGAAUCAUUCACCUUCAUAAAGAGGAAGCAAGUGGCUCUUCCACGGAUAACAAUUCUUUAUUGGGGGCAAUCCGGUGAUUGGUGUAUUCAACUCAAACUCAACCGUCGAUCUUAUAUGGCAAAGAUAAGGCCAAUUUUAUAAAUAUAAAUUUUAUAGGAUUAUUUGUAAAUUUUUUUUAUUAAGAGGCUAAAUACAAAAAAAGCCUAAUAAUAUACUCUCAAAAGAGUAAAAUGUACGGAUUCUUCUUCUACUAUCAUGAUAGUGCAAAGUUGAGUAAUAUAUAACUUUUAUGUUAAUUAAACCGUUUAAAUUUCUAAAAAAUUAUAUAUAUUAAACUUUUAGUCUAUAAUCGUAAUCCCGAACUUAUAUCAGUUUAAUGUGACAAGAAUUAGAAUGUCUAUUUUCUACGGAAAAAAAUGAAAUUUGUCUUAACGUUCUGCGAGUGAAGUUUAGAAGUGUGUUGCAAUAUAAGAAAAGUAGAGGGACUAUUCUGCAUUUUUACCCAUUGAUGAAUGACCAAUCAAUUGCAUGAUUGAUGAUCUUUUGAGUGACAGGUGUCAGCAGGAUGUGCAAUCACGUUGAAUAUGUAAUUUCCACAUGUUAUUUUUAUUUUCUUGAAUUUUCUAGGAUUUGUUUGAUUAAUUCUAGUUGUUAUCACAUGACCAUCACCUUAAAUUUUAGUGAGAUGUGUCACCAUAAAUGGAUUACUGGUUAGGAACUUAAUUUGUUCCUUGUUAAGCAACUCUAUAGAUAAUAAUAAACUAUUCACCGAUUUAUUUUCGAUGAUAAAACUUUAAAAAUCGACAAACAGCAUUAUUGAACAAAAUCUAAACCAUUUAAAUAAGUUGGAAAUUAAAUUAUAUAUUUUUUUCGGUAUUAUUCUCUGGUUCACCAAAUAUACAUAAAAUAAAUAUCCUUAAACAAAGUGAUAAUACAAUUUUUAUAUUUAAGACCUAGAGUUUAUAUCAUGUUAUAAAUAGUUUAAAAAAUUUUCCAACAGAAAUUCAACUGAUUUGAAAUUUUUUAUACUGUUAAACGAGUAAACACGUCAUACUUAUAAAUUUUGUAAUUCUUUGAUCGUUCGAUUAGUGAUUUGGAAUAGCUUGGCUUGUGUGCUUUUAGAAGUAAUUUUGUCUUCGUGUUAUCAAGUCGUUUUUUAUUCUAGGACUUGUGAAUUGACGAUCGACUCAGUUAGACUUGAUCUAGAGUAUUCGAAGUAUUUAAAAAAUAAAUUUUGCUAUUUUUUAAUAUUAUUUAUCUAGUGAUCGAAAUAGCUCUAAAUCAACAGCCGAAAAUAAAAAACUUAUAAAAAUUGAUGAUAUGAACUAAAAUUUUAGAUCAAAAAUAUUAAUCUUGUUCUAUAUAGUAUAAAAAAUUUUUAAUUAAAAUUUUACGUGAUUUGAAUAUUUUUAUACUGUUAAACUUAUAAACGUCUCACUAAGAUCAUUUAAAUUAUUGAUUUUUGGUCCCUCCGAAACAGAUUACUAGCCAAAUGAUAUCGAAAAAUUACAAAAUUUAUUUUGAAGCUACUUCAUCAAGUCUAAUAUAGUAGAUCGUCAAUUCGAAAGUCAUAACAUAGUGUGUCAAUGUGUGUGUCUAUAUAUGUAUAUUUAUAUAAGAAUCCAGCUACUAUUCUUUUAGGAGAACGAAGGUCUUCGUCCUCCUAAAUCAUUUUAGAUGAUAGGAAUUUCAAAUCGAUGAUCAGAGCCGUUAAACUUGAUGUAGAGUAUUUAAAGUGUUUAAAAACUAAAUUUCAUGAAUUUUAAAAAUUACUUACGUAGUGAUCAAAGGAUCACAAAAUCAAUAAUUUUUAAUGGCCUAUACGAUCUGCUUGCUAGUUUAACGACGUAGAACAAUCCAAACAGUUUGAUUUUUUGAUAGAAAAUUCUUUAUGCUUUUUAGAUAAUAUUUGAUAAUUUCGACCAUGAAUUGAAAAGAUCUAACAUCUAUUUUCACAAGGUUAUUCGUUUUUUACCGUUUAUUUUUCGACUCUUCAAUGAACUUAACGACGAAUUUUAAAAUUUAUAAAAUUUAGUUUCUACACGUUAUAAAUACUCUAAAUCAACUUUAACGGUUCUGAUAAUCAAUUCAGAAUUUCUAUUAUCUAAAACGACUUAGAAGGACGAAGGCCCCCGUCCUCCUAAAAGAAUAGUAGCUGGACUGUAUAUAUAUUAAUUUAUAUUUUAUAUUUUUAUAUAUAUUUUUGUCAUAAGCAAGGGGGGCCAAUGAGCUGGAGAGCCAUGUGCACUGAGGAGAUACUAAGAAUGUGGUAGUGUACCAUGUGAGAAGAGGAUCUAUAUUAGAUUGAAGCUUAUUAUUUCAUGUUAAAUAUUGCUAAGUUACAAUGAAUGGUGACCACACCUCAAAUAAUAAUAAUAAUAAUAAUAAUCAUCAUAAGGGUAUAUUGCUUAUUUGGUCCUCAAACCAUAAAGUGUAUGAAUUUUUUAUCCUCAAACUUUAAUUUGUUGUAAUUUUUGUUCAAACUUAAUUUAAAUUGUAUUACAAUCAAGCCCUAUAGCCUAAUUUAGUUAGCUAAAUAUUGAUUUAACGCUAAAGUUAGUGUGACUAAUGAUGUGCCAAUAAUUAAGAUGCUAUAUUUUUUUUUUUCAUCAGCGAUGCAUCAAUAUAUAGUCAACUAAAUUGGAUCGUAGGACUUCAUUGGAAUACUUCUGAAAGUUUAAGCUAAAAAUUGCGAUAAAAUAAAAUUUGACUUUAAGCCAAAAAUUGCGAUAAAUUAAAAUUUGAGAUCUAAAAUUAUCACCUAACUCAUAGUUUGAGAACCAAACGUACAAUUUACCUUAAAAAGAAAAAAAAAAGAUAUAGAGACACCUCAAUUUUACUUUUUUUUAUUAACGGUAAUUUUGUCAAAUUUAAUAACUCUAAUUAUUUAAUAAUAAAAUAAAAAUAUCAUAAUAAUUAACAAGCAGUAGUAAAUAGAUUUUCUGACAAUGCCAACUCGAAUAAUUCAACAUAUCGUACAUAAUAAGAGUACAAUUAUUGAGGGAUUCGAAAAAGAAGGGUCUAGAUCAACUUUUUGGAGAAUGAUUUGGAAAAGGGUAAAGAAUAUGUUUUAACAUUAAAUGGAUAAUAAUUACAAAUGCGAAAUUUUCGAACAAUUCAUUACAUAUAUUUUACAGGAUUAAUUUCAUAAAGAUUUACAUAUAUUUUAUAGGAUUAAUUUCAUACAAAUCCCUAUAAACAUAAUGAAUUGCAAAUAUAUUCCUACAAAGUUCAACUUUUAUAUAUUAUUACUGUAAAAAUCCUAAUAUUUUCAAAUAUGUUCAUUUGAUUCGUUACCAUUAAAAUACUAUUUAUUUUAUAAGUGAAAUGACUAUUUUGCCAUCACAAAUAUGCCCCUCUAAAAAGUCCCAACUAUUGAUUAAAGAAAAGUAAAAAGUCAAUUCACCUCAUUAACUAAUUAACGUUAAGUAUUUUACCUGUGAUUAACUAAUUUUUUCUAAUGAAUCCUAACGAUAGGGAUAUAUUUGAAACCAUCAGAACUUUUACAGAGACAACAAAUAAAAGUUGAACUUUGAAGGAAUAUAUUUAUAAGGGAUAAUUACCUAUAUACCCCUUAUAUGUUUUAAAAUAUCCGAUUUAUCCCUACUUUUUUUUUUUUCUUUCUAAAAUACCCCUCAUAUAUUCCACCGUUAUUGUAAAAUACCACCGCAGUUAGGGGUGGCAAUCCAGCUCACUGUUCGCGUGCCAGCUCGUAUUCGGCUCGAAAUGAGCUCGAGAUCGGCUCGCUCGUGUAGUAAACGAGCCGAACGCGAGCUGGAUUUUACAACUCGUUUAAUAAACAAGCCGAACAUGAGCCGGGUCAACUCGCUCGUGGUUCGGCUCGAUAACAGCUCGAUACAUAUAUUUGUAUUAUAUAAUUUAUUUAAUUUAUAUUAUAUAAAUAAAUAAUUAUAUAUAAUAUAUAUUUUUAUAUUUGAUUUUUAGCAAAAUAAAAAUAUAAAUGCGAGUUUAAUNNNNNNNNNNNNNNNNNNNNNNNNNNNNCAGCUCGAAGCUCGCAAGCCUCUCGAGCAGCCAGCAGCUCGCAGCUCGCAAGCCUCUCGAGCAGCCAGCAGCUCGCAGCUCGCAAGCCUCUCGAGCCUCCCCUGCUGCUUCCCCUGCUGCUUCCCCUUCAGGUAAAUAUAUAAUUAAAUCUAAUAUAAAAAAGACUCAUUUAUAUGUAAAGUUUCAAAAGAUCAAAGUCUAAUGGAUAAUAUUGGAUAAAUUUAUUUUGUAUAUAAAUUUAUACUAAUCAUUUUAAUUUAUUAUUCGUUGGGCAGCUCGUGAGCUAGCUCGUGUUCGGCUCGUUAAUAAACGAGCCAAACACGAGGUGAAUGUUUCGGCUCGAUACUUUAACGAGCCAUCUCGCCGAACACGAGCUGACCCCAGCUCGCUCGUGUUCGGCUCGUUUACACCCCUACCCGCAGUUAUCUCCUGUUAAGUUCACUUAGGUUAAACGUGAGUUAAAUAUCUACCACAGUUAAAAAAAAUUAAAAUGCCAAUUUUGUCCUUGACUUAAGGGCAAAUAAGAAAUAUUAGUGACCGUAGAGGGGUAUGUUUGAAAAGACUAAAAGUCAAAAUACUUUUUGUGCCUCUGACUUUAAGGGCAAAUAAAUAAGAAUAUCAGUGAUGGUGGAAGGAUAUAUUUGAAAUGGCAAAAUAAUAAUUUUACAUAGAUAACAGAGUUAAUUAACAGAUUUUAACUUUAGGAGUAUAGUAGAAAUAGGUUGGAACGUAGAAAGUUAUUUUCAAUAUUAGCUUUCUAAAAGGGAUAAAUCGAAAAAUCGAAACUUUUCAGGAAUAUAUAAGUAAUUGCCUCUAUUUAUAAUACACUAUACUUGUAGAGACCUGCGUGAAAUUAAUUCUAUUUUAUAUGGGUCUGCGAGGUAUAUCUGAGUUAGGGUUGAGUAUUGGAGUUUUCGUUCAUUUCUCGACAUAAAAAAUUUAAUAAAAUAAUAAAUUGAUUAAUGCCAAGGGUAUAUAAAUAAAUAUGCAUAUUUUAAUGGAUAUAAUAAUCCAAAAAAUUCCUGUGGAGGGUCAGAGAGUUUUUAUAUAUAUAUAUAGUUUAUUUGAAAUUCUUUAAUGCAUAAAGAGUUGAAAAUGUCUGUUUGUACAGAUUAUAUUUAAUAAUAAUAUAAAAUUUUUGAUUAAAUUAUAUAGGACAAAAAUGUACAGAGAAAUUCUGUAAACGUUUUAGCUCUUUUGUAAAUAGGCUUCUCAAAUUUCAAUUUUAAAAAUUAGAACCCCUAAUCCCUUUGUUCAGUUAAAAUUACUAAUUAUACAGCCGUUUUAGUCAUAUGCAUAUCUAGCAUAUAAUCGCAGAAACGUAAAAUAAUUAAUUUCUUCUAUUUUAACUUAAGAAAAAGUAACAAAAAUAGAAUGUAAAUUCAAUUUUUAUACUAAAUUAUCAAAAUUAGAAGAGAGAAAAGAAUAAAUUUUAUUUUUUUCAUAUUUGAAAUCUCUUAAAAUUUUGAGAUAGACGUGCAAUCAAAAUAAUUGUGUAAUUAGUAAUCUCCGCUAAGGAAUAAUUGUCAAACUUAAACGUUUUUGUGGUUUUUUUGUAAAUGAGUUAAAGGUUUAGGAGUUCGUUGUGUAUUUUACCCAAUUAUUAUUGGAUAAAUUGCACCUUUGGUCCUUAAACUUUAAUUUAUUAUAAUUUUUUACUCGAAUUUUUAGAAUUAUUACAAGCAAGUCUCAAAAUCCAAUCUACAUAGCUAAUAUCACUGCUUAGCUGAUGUAAAAGUAAUAUAUUAUUUUAAUUUUUAUAGUAUCAUUAAUUACAAUACUUUUAUAUUACUUCUAUAUUAACUGUAUAUCAAUAUUUAAUCAACUAGAUUAGGUUAUCAUACUUAAUUGCAAUAAUUUUAAAAGUUCGAGCAAAAAUUAUAAUAAAUUAAGGGCUAAAUUAUAGAAAUCCCCCCCCUCGCCGCCCCCCCCCACCUACAUACCCAUUUUUUUACUUUUUUUCAAAGAUUUUAAUCUUAAUUUAGCCACUUUAAUUUCAGAAAAUUGUAAAAGAGUCGACAUAAAUUAGGGAUAAAAUAUAAUUGUCUUUACUUUUCCAUCUAAAGAUAUUUUUUUAAAUUUUUUUUUUGUUUUUUGAUGGAUUUAGGGUAGAAAUUUAAAAAAAGACGAAUAGUUGAUUUAAAUCUGACGAAAAUCAGGGAAAAUGGGCCUAAUGUAAAAAUUGAAAUGUUGAAGAUGGUUAUAUAGCUUUUGAAGUUAAGGAUGAGUAAAGUGAAACGGCUUUUGUUGAAAAAAAAUUUUGUGAAUUAUCUUAAUUAAGUUGAGGAUGAUGCUGUAGUUUAUAGUUGAGGUCACGUGCGAUUUAUCUUCAUCGUUCAUGCCAUGUCAGUACAUAUGCGGGUAGCUUUUUGAGGUGGCAUGAGCAGUGUAGUGUAGCUGUUUCCAUCAUCAAUCUGUACGUUUCCAUGUUAUGGCACAACACAUGGUUUUUUUAUGUUAUUUAUGUCCUCUUCAACAAACAACCAAAAAACAAACUAAACACUUUGUGGUUAUUGAUUAGAGGAGAAAGGGUGCAAUGGGAAUUAUUCUCUUAGAUAUCCUAUUUGCAUCAAUUUUAUUAUAUUAGGCUGGGGUACUUACUUCUAUAAGUAUGAACUCCUUGUAUCAUAAAUUUUUACCGUUUGAUUGAUGAGAUGUGUGGUUAGGAUGAUGAGUUCCCAUUAGAUGAUAGUGUUCCCCUAGGGUGAUGGUGUUGGUGAUAGCUAUGAGUAACGGAUGAAUUGAUCAUGAAUAAAUUUAAGGGCGAAAAAUUAUGGUAUAAAGGCCAAUAUAUAAUGUAUCGUGCCGAUCUUAUAUAUAUAUUGGAGAGAGGAGAGGGGGGAGGUGGGUCUAUGUUCUGGAUGUACCCCGGGCUUCCGUAUUUUAGGUCGUUUUCGAUGUUGCGAUUUCGAACGUCGAUCGGGUCGUUAAUUGAUCUGAGUAUUUGAAGUACUAGAUAAUUUUGCAAUUUUUUCGAUAUAAUUUGCUAGUGAAUAGGCACAAUCAACGGCUGAAUUAUAAUUUACAAAACGUGUAUAUGACGUUAAAUUUUAGAUCAAGUAUUAAUCUGUUUAUAUAGUAUAAAAAAAUUUUAUCAAAUUUGCGUGAUUUGGAUAUUUUCUACCCUUCAACUUGCAAAUGUUUCACACGGAAUUAAAAUUAUUGAUUUUGGUUUCGGUAUAUGCAAAUUAAUAUCGAAAAUUUAUUAAGAAUUUUUUUGUAGGUACUUCAAUUAUCUAGUUUAAAAUUUAAGGAGCUUCGACAUUCGAAAGGUCGAAAUCGACGGCCAGGAAGCCGGUAGGCUCUGUUGUUCUCCAUAGUAGCCUCACACUAUAUUUGUUUAUAACUUAUAUUUUAUGAUAUUGUAUAUAUAUUAUAUAGUCCUUACUUUCCUGAUUUUAUGGAGUGAGGACCUUGUCUCCAAGUCCGAUUUGAUAUCGAACUUCAUAAUUGCAAUCCGGCACCGUAAUUUACUAUUAGAAAUGUUUAGAAAUCAAUUUGUUAUUUAAAAAUCAUUAUCAAGUUCAUCUUAAGAGUUGAAAAAUGAACGGUCAUAAAUGAAUAACCUUCUUAAAAUAGAGGUUAGACUUUCUUAGUUCGUUAUCAAAGUUAUCAAACAUUAUCUAAAUAGUAUAAAGAAUUUUCUUUCAAAAAUUCAAACAACUUGAAUUACUCUACACAGUUAAACAGACAAACGGCUCAUAUAGGCCAUCAAAAAUUAUCAAUUUUAUGACACUUUGAUCACCAUAUAAAUAAUUUUUAAAAUUUAUGAAAUUUAGUUUCUAUAUAUUUCAAAUACUCUAGAUCAACUUAAAUAGCUCCGAUCAUCGAUUCGGAAUCUCUAACAUCAAGAAUAAUUUGAUAGGACAAGUGCUACUAUCCCAUUAGUAAGAUAGUAGCUCUAGCCUAUAUAUAUAUAUAUAUAGAGAGAGAGAGAGAGAGAGAGAGAGAGUAGGGCUACUAUACUUUUAUGAGUAUUGGGCCCUUCAUACUCUUAAAUUGUUUUCGAUGAUGCAGCUUCCGAAUCGACAAUCUACUCCGUUAAAUAUGAUCUAGAGUAUUUGAAACUUCUAGAUAAUAAAUUUCGUAAUUUUUCAAAAUCAUAAUAAAGUCCAUCAAGCGGGCAUAAAAUAAAUGGUCAAAAUCAAACGACGUCAUAAAAAUGGAUGAUCGCAUCCUUCAAUUUAAGAUCAGAGUUGUUGAUCUUUAUCUAGAUAGUGAAUAGAAUUUUUUAUCAAAAAUUUAACCUAUUCCGAUUCUUUUCCACCGUUAAACUAGCAAAUAUCUCAUACCGGUCGUUAAAAAUUGUCAAUUUUGUGAGCUUUUGAUCGUAAGGUAAAUGAUGUCGAAAAAUUAUGAAAUUUGAUUUUUACAAGUUUUAAAUGCUCUAGAAAAUAUUUAACGGUAUGGAUCGUCGAUUCGGAAGCUCUAUCAUCGAAAACAGCUUAUGAGUACGAAGGCGAUCGUACUUAUAAGAGUCUAGUAGCCGGACUCUCUCUCUCUCUCUCUAUAUAUAUAUAUAUAGUUCCAGCUCAACUCUCUCUCUCUCUCUCUCUAUAUAUAUAUAGGCUGGGGCUACUAUACUCUUAAGACUAUAGAACCCUUUGUACUCAUAAAUUUUUAACCGUUGAUUGAUGGGAUGUGUGGUUAAGAUGAUGGUGGUCCCCACUUAGAAUGAUAGUGGUCUCCUAGGGUUGAGUGGGUAGUUGAUUGAAUUGUAUGCUCUAACGGGUGAAAAUGAUCAUAGAAUAAAUCUAAGAGCCGAAAACUUAUGAGUAUAAGGGAGCGAAUACUCAUAAAAGUAUAGUAGCCGGACUAUAUAUAUAUAUAUAUAUAUAUAUAGAGAGAGAGAGAGAGAGAGAGAGAGAGAGAGAGAGAGUAGAGAGAGAGAGGGCUACUAUACUCUUAUGAGUAUAGAGCCCUUCAUACU
rnacentral:lncRNA from 1 species